rnacentral:lncRNA from 1 species
AUAUACUCGCGUAGCUAUGACAAAAUCUCCUACAGGUGUAGCUACCUCAAAUGGUUCUAUCAACUCAGACUCUAUUCCAAUCCUACUAGCAACAAAGGGAGAUAUAUAUGAUAAGGUGCAACCUUGGUCUAUCAAUGCAUACACACUUCGGGAGAAUAGUGAUAAUAUACCUGUGAUCAUAUUAGGUGACGCCUCCUGAUCUUGCCUAUUAGUCAAAGUAUAUAUACGGUUUGAGGGACCGCUAGAACUGGAAGCUCCACCAUGUCCUCUACCACGGCCUGCUGGCGCCUGAAUACCCUGCCCCGUAGGGCGCAUAGCCACAGAAGAAGAUGAACCAGCAACGGACCCUGUGGGCUGUGCCAUACCACCUGCACUACCUCUAAGGUGACACUCCCUCAUAGUAUGGCCCUGACGGCCGCAAAAAAAAACACGCACCUGUAGCCCAACAACAUUCCCCAGGAUGGGACUUACCACGACGAGAACACUGAGGAAAAGGUGGCCUCGACUUGCUCAAACCCCUGCCCAUCUGUGAUCCUGACGCCCUAGAGCUCUGACCAGCUUCCAAAUAUCUCAUACGAUCGAACCCCUUACCCAUGAAACGUGGGGGUGCACUCUGUGCUGGCUGGGAAUAAAAUCUAACAUGCUGCUGAGACUGCCCGCUUUGAAACUCGUUAGGAUAACCUGCUGAUCUAGCCCUCUUAUGCUGGACUCUAUUAUAAUCUCUAUCUGGCUGACGUCCCCGGUGCCGAUCCUCUACCCCCUGUGCAUAUGCCUGCACCCGAGCAAUGUCCAUACCUAGCUGAAGAGUCACUGCCAUACAACUGUCAAUCAAAUAACGAUCCAAUCCCAUCACAUAACGAUGUACCCUGUCUGCCAUAUCAGCCACAAUAGUAGGCGCAUGCCUAGCCAAUGAAUCAAACUCGAGGCUAUACUCUCGAACACUCUUGCCAUUUUGCUUCAAACACAAGAAUCUAUUGACUCUAGCUCACUUCAUCUCUGGAGGCAGGAAGUGGCCCUGGAAAGCCUCCACAAAUUCAUCCCAUACCGCUGGAGGAGCACCCUCACCCCUAGAUAACUCCCAAGACUCAUACCAAUUAAUAGCUACAUCCUGCAAACGAUACAUAGCCAGCUCAACAGACUCGGCCUCCGAAGCCUUGAUUAUCCUCAAUGUACGCUGCAUCUGACGAAUAAACUCUUGAGGAUCAUCCUGGGGCCUUGACCCAAAGAACUCUGGAGGAUUACAACUUAAGAAGUCACGAGCCCUUAAGCUAUCAGAUCUGUCCGCAUGAUCAACUCCUAGUCCAUGCCUGCGAGCCUGAUCUGCAACUUAUCUAGUCAGCAAUUUAACCUCAUCUCUCAUGGCCCUAUCCUCCGCCCCUAACUGAGGAGUUGGAGGUUCAGAUGUUGGGGCCUCGGGGGCUGGUGGUGUCCCCCGAACUGGAGCUGCUGCUGCUCUAAGCUCCUCUGGCGGUGGCGGUGUAUUAGAGUUCUCCGACUGGAGCAUAAUACCAGGCAUAGACUGGGCACGGGCCCUAGUAACUCUCCGGGUCUUACUAGUACCUUCUGCUACCGAUUUUCCCUUCUGGGCGGCUGUCGCUUUCUUUGGAGGCAUAGUUGAAAACACACGGAUUCGUUAGAGAGGGAUUAUCCUGUUAAUAUAGCUCUAUCGCACGAUCUAGAAUAAGAAGAAAGAAUGACAUCCUAAAUGUCCUGUAGCUUCCUGAUUAUAGAUGUGGUGCACAACACACCGAUAAAAAAGACUCUACAUAACACGGUCCGUAGACACUUCUAAGGAAGAACCACUCUGAUACCACUCUUUGUCACGACCCAACCCGAUAGGCCGUCACUAGUGCCCGUUUUGGACAUCCACAUACAAACCUGCUAAGUAUAACCAACUGAAACUAAGACAAUAUGGAAUUUAAUCAAAUCAAGCCAACCCAACGUCAUAUAUAUAUAUAUAAAGUGGACCUGUCUCAUAAGUAGUCAUAACUAUUCAACCAUAACAGCAUACGCGCGCCGACAAGGCCGCCACUAUUCAAAGCAUAAUAACAUACGUAAGCCGACAAGGCUGCCACUACACAGUACACAAUGAUGUACGCAGACGACAAGGCUGCCCCUGUACAAGCGGACACCCCAAACAAACCAUGUCCAGACCAUUAUCCAAAACAUAUAUAUACAACCCACAUAAUGUCCACAGACCUCUAAGAGUACGUUAGUGAAACUCGACGGGACAGGGCCCCCCCAUACCCAUAGACAAGCAAAAGACUACACAAAAGUUACGUACCAAAACGACUGGGCUCCGGAACAGUGGAGCUCUCCCAAUCAGCAGAGUAGAUAUCCUAGGCGGGAGGAUCACCGAGCUGUGCGUCUACACCUGCAGGCAUGAAACGCACCCCCCGAGGAAAGGGGGGUCAGUACGGACAAUGUACUGAGUAUGUAAAGCAUAAGGCAAAGAAGACAAGAUACCAAUAUGGCAAGUCGAAACAAAAUAUCGCUACACAUGCACCCUUUUAAGUGAAUAUCAUGCAUAUCUUUAACAUAUAAGGUGCCGAGCUUCCCUAGUAAGGGGCUCGACAAAAUAAUCAUCACGUCAUCUCCGUCAUCAUCAUCAUCAUCAUAACCAUCCUCAUCACUAAUCAUAUAUAUAAUAUACAUACCCGGCCCUCUAGUGAGGAACUCGGUGACAUAGCAAAAUAUUAUGAGCAACCAUAUGCAAUUAAAAUCAUUUCUUAUAACUCAAACAGAACAAUCAACGUGAACCAGCAAGGAGUAUUACCAAAGAUUAAUAUUUUAUCAAGAUUAUGAACCUUUAAUAGGAUAUGGAAACGUAAAAUCUCAAUGACUCUAAGAAGCACUACCAUAGAUAUGAGAGAUCAUCAUAGCCUUAGACAUAGCCGAUAUAUAGAGGAAUAAUUGUGGGAGCAAGAACAUACGUCACCUAGAUGCUCUAGAGGUAAGUAUCAAAUCUGUCUGUUAUUCGCUUAUUUUUAAAAGUCAUGCCAAACAAAGAAAGAAGGGACAGCGUUACAUGCCGUAUAAUCGAGCCGCACGUCCAAUUUUUACUUCUCAAGCUAUUAAUCUAUAACAAGCAACAAUCGUGCCGCAAUUAGAUAAACAUCGCGCUUUACUUUCUUGUAAGCUAGCUAAUAAUCUAACGAAAAUUUGGCAGCACUUCCCCUAUUUUCCUUACUUCGUCCCAAUACAACAACAAUCCAAAUUAUCCACAACAAUACCAAUAACACAUAUAACCCAACGAAUCGUAUUAAAUAGCCCCCUCCCCAAAACAGUUCCGUCUCGGCAACCAUAGCAGCGAAGCAACGACACACCGAGCGAUAACUCAUUUUAUAAUUCACAACACAUCUUAUCGUAUUCAUCUUUUGGAGUAUAUACUCAUAAUCACAUUCAACAUAUACAUAAUGCCAAAACAGAAUUUUCCUGCAGUUUGCUUUAAUCAAAACAGCCCAACCACCAACAUGACACCACUAAUAAUCCGAUUAUGGUUUCCAUUUAUACUUAGCACAUUCAAUAACUAAAACAAAAUUCCUAAGCUACUGGUCACGCCCCCUUCUUAAAAUUAAUGGAUAAUUAACAAGGGUAUUCUAAAUAAUUAACACACCAAACAAGGAGAUUACUAACCAAAUUAUUUGCAGCUGCUGGCCAAGAGUUGCAGGGUUGGUUUCUCCAUUUCCAUGGCUGCCUAAGACAAGUGGUGAAGAAGAAGAUGAUAUGCAGCAAUGCAUUUCACCACUUUAUUUAGCAUGGAGUGGAUUUCUCCACCUCAUUUAAUAGUAUAAAGUGGAGGCAGCCUCCCUCUACACCUGUCCACUAAGGCCAGCUCACAAUCUGAUCCCUUUUUAAUUUUUGCCUUGAGUGGUUGGGCCCACUGGAUUAAAUUAAUCCUAAUCAGCCACCAAUUAUGAGUGGUGGGGCCCAUUGGAUUAAAUCAAUCCAAAUUAGCCACUAAUUAAUCCCUCACUUAAAGUUAAUGACACUUACAUUAGUCAACUCGUACUUAAUAUCACAUUUGGAAAUAACAUCCUUGCCUAAUUUUUCUUUACGUCUACUAGAUCACGAUGCGCACUACGUAUAAAAAAAAUACGAGGCAUAACAAUCACGAAGAAAUGUCAUCUAUAAAUAGCUUGACCACCAUAUAUAUCGAAUCAAUGAAAGAUGAUGGUUCAUUUUUUAGCCUGAAUGACAUGACUAAGAUCUCAAAAUGACCAUACCGUGUUCGAAAAGUUGUCUUCGGUAUAUAUUUUUCCUUGAUCCUCACUUGGUGAUAACUUGACCUUAGGUCAAUCUUUGAAAAACACCUAGCACCUUGUAACUGAUCAAUCAAAUUAUCAAUUGUAAGGAGGGUUAUUUGUUCCUAAUUGUUACCGUAUUUAACUGCCGGUAGUCGAUAAACAUUCUUAGCGAUCCAUCUUUUUUGCGUACAAAUAAAACUUGUGCUCCCCAUGGGGACAUACUAGGCCUUAUGAAUCCUUUUUCUAAUAAGUCUUUUAAUUGCUCCGUAGACUCCCAUAGUUCUGCCGGAGCAAUUCUAUGUGGAGGAAUUGAGAUCAGUUGAGUAUUUUGAAGCACAUUAAUACCAAACUCUUUUUCUCGUCCUUGAGGCAAACAUAGAAGAUCCUCAGGAAACACAUCGGGAAAUUCAUUUCAAUUGGAAUAGAUUUAAGGGUUUGUGGCUAUGCAUCUACAUUUUUCACUCUUACUAGGUGACAUAUGUAUACAUUGAAAAUAAUCUUCUUUUCCUUGAGAUAAGAAAUAAAUUUACCUCUCGGUGCCCUAUUAUUAUCUUUCCAUUAGAGACAGCCUCUUUUGGAAACUGGAAAUGCACUAUCUUAGAUCGACAAUCUACCAUGGCAUAAAAAGAAACUAACUAAUCCAUACUGAUUAUAAUAUUAGUAUCUACCAUAUCUAUCUCAACAGGUCUGCUAAUGUAUUGCCAUCACAAAUACUUACAAUGCAUUUACGAUAAACUUUUCUAGAUAUAAUAGACUCACCAAUCGAUGUUGACACUUCACAUGGUUUCACUAAUAUUUCUGGUGGUCCUUUUGAACUCUCCAGAAAACAAUGGUAUAACAUAUGAUACUGUAGAACCCGGAUCAAUUAAUGCAUACACAAUAUGUGAAAAGAUGGACAAUGCACGUGUAACCACAUUCAGUGAGGCUUCUGAAUUUUGUCGAUCCCCUAGUGCAUAUGUGCGCUUGUGACCUCCACUAGAACUAUCUUCUCCCCUAGCUCCUCUACCACGGCCUGUAGGCAUCAGUAGCCCCUACCCAAAGAAGGUGUUUAUGAUUUUGAUGCAACAACUGAUCUAGUUUGUUGUUCAACGCCACCCACGCCCCUAUGAGGGCAGUUUCUCAUCAUAUGCCUUGGUGUGCCACACCAAAAACAAAAAAAAUUCCAAAACCUGCAGGCGCCUAGAUGAUUCCUUCCACACAGUUUACAAGGUGUCGAGGAGGCAUUGAUUGCCUCGUACAUCCGUAUUCUUGAUGAACCACUAUUUGUGAGACUUGUUUUUUACUUCUUUGACCAAACUUAUUGCCCCUAAACCCUUGAAAUUGUGAUGGAGCGCUAGUUGUAGAGUAAAAAGAUUAUGGCCUAGGUGGUCUGUUAUAGAACACAGGCUUAAACUCACCUUUUGAUGGUGUAAACUGCCCCAUGGAUCUGGCCCUCUUAGAAUGCCCUGUUUUCGACUCUUGUGUCCUUCUUUUCCUUUGAUCCUCCAACUUUUGCUCAAAAGCCUGCAUCCUUGCUAUAUCCAUAUCUUUAGUCAAUGAAGAAUUGGUACAUUCUCUAACUAAAUAUAGGUCUAAUCUAUACACAAUGGAUUAACUCUAUCCUCUAUGGUAGCUACUACAUUAGGUGUACAUCUUGCCAAAGAAUUGAAUUUUAGACUGUACUCUUUCAUGCUCAUACCUCCUUUGUGGAGAUUUAAGAGCUGAUAUGCAUGGGACUCUCGGAUCUCCAAUGGAAGAUAAUGGUCAAGGAAUUCCCUUUUGAACUUUUUCCAUGUAGCUGAAGGUGGAUUCGUUCCCAUAGAUUUCUUCCAUGAUUCAUACAACAAUAUAUCCACCCUUUAUUCUAUAUGCUGCUAGCUCAAGUGCUUCUCUAUCACUUACAUGCAUACUAUCCAAAGUGCGUUUGAUCUUAUAUAUAAAGUCUUGUGGAUCUUCACUAGGAUCUGACCCGGUGAAUUAUGGAAGGUCAAAGUUAAGAAAAUGAUUUAACCGUGUUCCAGCUGCUUUAUCUACACAACUAGUACCUGCAACUGGACCUUUCUUGCCUUUAGCCACGACCAACAAAUAUACGAGUCAAUAAUUGGAUUGCAUUCCUCAAAUCUUGCUCAAUAGAAUUAAUAGGGGGUUCUAGAGGUUCAUCUUCGCUCCUCAAUUAUUCAGGAGAUGGAGGCUUGGGGAAGUCUGUGAUAGAGACUAAUCUUGAGUCCCACUUUGAACAGCUUGACUUGGUUGUGGUUGGCUGGUCCCUUCUUGGGCAGCCACAAUUAAGACUCUACACAGAUACGAUUUUGUAGACUCCCUAGGAUUACCUACUCUGAUCCCACUUUUGUCACGACUCAAAUCUUAUUAAGGCAGACAGGUACACGAUGCCUUAAGGUCCUGAGAGAACCAACCUCAAUUUUGUUCUUACUAUGCAUAUAACUAUAACAAUCAUGACAAGUUCAUAAAGGAAGCAGUGAUAAAAACCAACAUUAUAGACCCAAAAAAUUAUGUACAAGAUUUGGUUGUUGAGGCCACAACUCCUUAAGUCAUAACCGAACCAUCUGCAUACUUCUACAAAGCAUCUAAAAAGAUAGAAGACCUAGAGUAGGUUGGGAAAGACCCCGCCUUACCCUUAACUACGAUGCAAUGCCAAAAUAAAUUUAUCAAGGACUCAAUAAAGCUCUGAAUAAACCUGGAGCUCACCAAAAGUAUCUGAUAGCAUGCUCUUACUAAGGAGGUCUACUAGCUCGAGUACCUGUGCCUACAAAAUUAAAUGCAGCGUCCCCAGCGAGGGAUGUCAACACAAAAAAAAUACCAAAUAUGAAAGCAUUUGUAAUACGAGGGCUAAAAUUAAAUCAAGUAUCAACAUAUGAGUGCGUAGAUAAGGAGAGAAGACCACCUCAUGUAAGUUACAGUGUUUUCUUUACUUUUAUGUAUGUUAUAAUCUUUGUAAGGCAUGUGAUACAAGUUACCAGCUGAUCACUGGUAAGAGGAUGACCCAUGCUAGGCAUAUUAACCCCUGGGAUGCGCUCCUUAGAAUUACACAAUUGGGAUCGGCCCAUGUUAGGCAUUCUCCCCUGAGCUACCACCAUUCUAUACCAACAAGGUUUGGUCCAUGCUAGGCUUUUGCCCUGAGCUACUACGCUUAUGUACCUGUUGGGAUCGACCCAUGCUAGGAUUUCGCUCCUGGGCUGCCAACCAUAAUUAUAUAGAUUUCUUCACUUAAAUUCUUUAAUGCUUGAGAUUGUUGUUUAUUAGUUCAUAAAUCUUUUUCAGGUUGUUCUUUGAUAAUCGUUACUUUUUUGAGAUGUUAUUUUUGUGUUCAUAAUCAUUUUGGAUAUAUGGAAGUAUGGACCAGUAAUAGAAGACAAGAAAAUAAUACUUCAAAGCAAUAAUAAUGACAUAAGGAUCUAUGUAACAUCAACUCAUUACUUUAAGAGCAUAGUGACACAAUUGACUUCAAACCAUAAAGAGGAAGAUUCACCAGUAUUGCUUUUGCUAAUACCAUUUCUAUACCAACACAUCGGGGGCUAAUUACACAUGUAUAAAAUAGUGAACGUAUAAUGAAGUAGUUAUAUGAACUACGGAGAGGGGGAAAUAUUGUUAGCCGUUUGGAGAUAGUACGUUGCCACUAUGUUUCCUUUUCUAGGAAUAGAACAUAUGAGAUUCACUUCAAUGGUAAUAAUGGCAAGUAUCAUAUUUCAUGCAAAAGGGAUAUAGAAUAGAAUAGCCUUACAUACCUUAUCCUUUGACUAAUAUUACUAUCCCGAUUUAGCCUCACCUUUUCGGUUUGUAUCUAUAAUUUAGUUCAUUGUAAACUAAAUUUAGCAGCUUUCACAUUGUGAUCCUCGUAAAACAGUAACUAACUUUGACAUUUAAUGAACCCAUCCAGCCCAUAACAUAACGUGUAUCACCACACCCUCAUUCUAUGUCCAACACAUAUAUUAUAUAUCCUUACCCUAAGAUCAAUGAAGUUACACCAACAAUAACAAACUUACAACAUCCCCAAAUAUUCUUUAUCGUACAACCAAUUAUUGAAUUCACACCCCCCCAAACAUCCUCAUUGAUAAGAUUUUCUUCAUCAGUAAAUAUUCCUUUGAAGUGUUCACAAGCUACAUGAGCAAUGUUGUCGUCACCUUGUAUCCAAUAUCAAUUUUCAUUGGUAACUUUGUGAAUAAAAAGCUUUCUUCUUCAUCCCAUUAUUACUAAAUGGAAGUAUUAAGAAUUAGUAUCACCUUCUUUAAUCCAUUGGAGUUGGGUUUUUUGUUUCAAAAUAGUAUCUUCCAGUUUGAGAAAUUUGAUGUACUUUGCAUUAAUUUCGUGAUGGAUGCUUCUAUUUGAGUCACUUUGGUUAUUGAUGUAGUUUUCUUCAGCUUUAUGCACUUUUUCCUCAGACAUCCUAACCUUUUGGAAAAUAUCACCAAAUUCUUUCUUAGACCAAACACUAAGAGUAUUUGAUAGCCUUUUCAUUUUUUGGUGAAAUGUUUACAUGCCAGUACCUACUACUUCCUUCUCCCAACAGGUUUUAACAGUUUACAUGAAAUGAGGGUUAUCCACCCAACAAUUGAGAAAUCUGAAGUACAUUGUGUGAUAAGUUAUUGUGGAAACCAUUUCAAUGAGUAAAGGACAAUCAUCAGAUACAGUAGAUGACAAGUGAGUUAUAGUGGUUUGAGGCAUCUUUUCCAACCAAGAAUCAUUUAUCAUAGCCCUAUCAAGCCUCUUCCGAAUUCUGUGAUUGAUACCCCUCUUGUUAGACCAUCUGAAUUUAUUACCACUAAAACCAAUGUCCAAAAGGCCACAGGCUUCAAUGUCAGCAAUAAAGUCCAUACUGUUCCUCAUGUUGUAAGGCACAGCUCCAAGUUUUUCCUCCACAGAAGUUAUAACAUUAAAAUCUCCAACAGUACACCAAGGGUUCUCAUUCAAAGAGGCUUGCUGAAUCAUUUUAACCCAAAAAGAUCUCAUGAGGUGAUCUUUGCAUUUAGCAUAGAAAAAGGUACUAGUAAAUUGAUAUUGUUAUUCAUUGUGUUUCAUGUUGCAAGUGAUUUGCUGUUCAUCUUCAUCAAGAAUAUUACAAUGAAUAUCACUGAUCCAAAAAAACCCUAAUUUUACCAUUACAAUUAGUAGUAGCAUUAUCCAUGUUUAAAUGAACCUUAAAGCUUUGAACAUGGACAAUAUCAUAGAAAGGUUCCAAAAUAGUGAUAAUAGAUAAUUGGUGAAGCUUUCUGAGCAUUUUGAGUCUCUCCAACACCACGUGAGUGUUGAUCCCUCUCACAUUCCAUACUAUUGUACUAAUAAUUUGGAAGAUCUAAAGGAAAAGAGCCUAGUAUUAGGUAUGCCAGCUGUGACAGUAUUGACAUCUUGCUUCUUGAAGUGAAAUUGUCUUGAUGGAAACCCCUAGGAGAUAAACAUUGAUUUUGUGCUACCUGUUAAGGUCUGAUCAUUAUGAGGACUAAAGGCCUUAAUAAGGGCCUCACUGAUACGCUCAAACUUACUUCUCAAAUAAGAAGUAAAGCGGUCGUAUCAAGUAAAUAACCCAACUAAUGAGGUUGGGAUUGUUCCCACGAGGAAAAUUGUUUAGACUUAACUUCAAUCUAUUAUUACUAUUGUUCAGUCAAUUAUUUCCUUGGAAAAUAAUGACAAUAAAAAGGUUUUUUUUACUUCUAAAUGAAUGAACAUAACUAGAUAAAUUGAAGGAGACAACUAACAGCUUCAAAUGUUCGAGUUUAAUCGAUUAAUCAAAGUAACUAGGGUUUAUGUGUUCCCCACAGGUUCAUAACAUGAUAAUAUCUUGCAUGCAAUGUGAUAAGUUAAGUAUUUCUAAAUCCUCGGUCCGGCAUCUAGAAAAUUUCACUCCGCACCUUGGUUAGGCUACGUGUGUUGCUAUACUAACCCUUACCUUUACCUCAUAUUAAGAAUCAUAUUCAAUAUUUGACUAAGUUAUUACCUCGUACCAAUCAAUACUAGCCUAUUAGAUAGUAUACACUAAAUCUAUGUUGAUAAUUCUUUUCCUAUUAUCUACCUCCUUGGUCUGGCAAGUAGUGUUAAGGCGAGUUCUAACGUUGGCCAUCCGUAAAAAGACUUAUAAGUGAAAGAAUUAUCAAUACAUGCAAGAAACUAUUCUAGAAUUAUUAUUUUAGUUAGGUUUUACCUUAUUAUUCGUCUAUGGUUCCCACAACCCUAGUUAUGGAGUUUAGUUACCCAUAGUCAUAGUCACAACAUUCAAAUAUGUAAUAUAAGAAUUCAUGCAGUUACUUAAUGAGAAAGAAUAAAAUCCAAAAUUUCACUUGAUUAAUCAACAAAAGUCACCAACAAUAAAUUACUGAAAUUAAUUGAAGACUAAAGAUUCUCCAAAAGUGUAACAAUAAUCACCGAAUCUAAUCUAGAAAAGAAGUUCAAAAAAUCAAGAGUCCAAAAAUAAUCCAGAGUCUAACCAAAAAAUGAGGUUUUUUGAACUAUUUAUAAAAAAUAAAAACCUAAUUAAAUAAGGACUCUAUUUGCUGGAAAUCUGUCAAAACGCGGCUGGGUCGACGGACCUCGCAAUGGAUCAUCGUGGUCACGACGGACCGUCAUGGAUUCCGUCAUCCCAUACUUAUGCAUUUUCUUUUGCUGCUCUCUUCAUUACCCUCGACGGCAGGUAUGACGGAUCAUCAUAGGCACAAUGGUCCGUCGAGGGUCUCUGUUUCAAAACACUUGAGCUCUUGGAAUUUGGGUACUAGGACUACUUCUCUGAUCUUCAUGACGAACUAGUAGGACGGACCGUCAUGGCUACGACGGUCCGUCACGUACUCCAUAACUCCACACAUGGUCAGAUUUCCCCAUCUUCCUUCAGCAGCUGCACUACGAUGCCACCUACGGACCGUCACGAGCACGACGAACUGUCACAAGCUCUGUAAGUGGUACUUUUCUUUAUUUCUUGCUCAAAAACCUCCACAUUCAUCUUUUAGAUAAAUUUCCUGGAAAUAGAUAGAAACUUACAUUAAAAUUAGUAUAAAAAGGCUUUUGGACACACUAAACUUAAGGAAAAAGUAUUAAAAAUACCGUGAAACCACGGUAUAUUAACACCCUCAACUUAAAUUUGUUGUUUGUCCUCAAGCGAUGCACUAUGACUCAAUACAAAAUCUUUGUACAAUAGUAUCCAUGUUUUAUCUUUCGCAAUCAUUUGACUAUUAAUCCCCAUCAGUCUCAUCAUGUUUAUGAAUGCUAUCACCAUGACACAGACUCAACAUGCACUAACACCUAUCCUCUUCAAUUUCUCACCGGGGUGCUAAUAUUUCCGGUAUUGCAACUAGUGUCCUCGCUUCAAAAUACUCAUUUUUCACACAAUGAUUUCAGUUUGAGUAUACGGAUUACUUUUAAACAGUCACUCUCAGGAAAAAUUCACACUCAUUUAUACAUAUUGUCAUAAGCUUGCCCUUAUUUUUACAGCUUUAUGUUCGCUAUACAACUCUUAGGAUCACGAUAGGACUUUCUUAGCUCAUAACAUAGGCUUAGGGUAAGGUAGGGUAUAUUUAGGUAUACCUUAGUGACUUUUUGCCCUCCUUGACAUAUCGGCUAAACAUACCACUUUUUAUCAUUUAUUUCGCCCAAUUUCUCAUAUUCUUUCACCUUGCUAUUUUCCCUUCUUUCUUCAUUUGUGUAAGUGACUCUCUUCUUUUCAUGCUUGUAUUUCUUGAAUAUUUUUUUAUUUUAUUAUUUUUUUUUUAUUUUUUUUCACUUUUCUUUCAAUUAAUUCUUGAGUCACUUUAAUUUUGUUCUUUCUCUCUCUUUGUUCUUUCUACCCCACUUUAAAGAGCAAUCCUCAUAAUAGCCACCCUCACUCAUGGCUUUGGCAUGAGUCAAAGUACACAAUAUCCAAAGUUGGGUCGGGGCCAUAAAAAGGGUUGUUUACUGCAUUAGCCACCCUCAACUUAUGCUUUUGGCAUAAGCUGAGGUGCACAUGUCCGAGGUGGGACCAGGGCCAACACAUUAUUCUCAGAAGAGUUCAGUUGGGUGAAAAAGAAAGGUCUAGUUUAAGCUGAAAUCAUUUGGAUCAAAGAAGGAUUAAUUUUAUUUGGUUUUCUUUUAUUUAGGCUAAAUAUAUGGGCUAUAUUGAAUAAGGGCCUAUGAUCCUUUCCUAAUUGUCUAUUACAGCUUACUUUUAGCAGGACUAACCAGGCAAGUUCUAGCUCAGUACAAAUAGUGGACUAUUCAAAUCUUCCUCACACUCACUUGACAUGUCAUUACUCUACCAGAUUAUUAGACACCUAGUUCGAAUUUUAGACUUAGGGUCAUGCAGUGGUGUACCUCUAUGUCAUGAUUAGAGCCACACAUUUAUCAAUUACUAUGCCUAGUCAUGCAUCAUUUUCAUUUUAUCAGGAUAUCAUUUUAGCCAUCAUGCUUCAGAAUUAAACUAUGUACACAAGAAAUAGACAUGCCGGUUCAACAGAAAAAAUAAUCAGUCUCAUGGGGAAAAAGAACGCAGGCAUGAAAACACCGAAAGAGGAUAGUGAAUUGGGUUACUCAAACUUCACCCUAGCACUCACUUUUCAUUUACCUCACCCCCCCCCCAAAAAAUAAAUGCAAUUGUCCCUAAUGCAUAAGAAAAUUGAAAUACGAGAGUGGUUCCUGAAGCAAACCUGGGACGCAAAGCGCCAACGAUCAGCAAGCCAGGGUCUGAUUCCCCGGAACCCACUACCUCUGUAAUCUGGACACCCUCAGUAGUGUCUACAGCAUCGACAACACUAUCAGCGGUGCCUCCCGCUAUCUCCACAUUUCUGGAGCUAGAUGCCCUAGCAUCUAACUCUACUGCCCUCAUCUGACGUGCCUCCUUAUCAGCAAGCGAGGCUCUCCUCGCAGUCUCCAUCUCACGAUGAUCCUUCUCCCAUUCUUGAGCCUCAUCCUCCUCUCGACCCCUAUGCCUCUUGGCAUGCUCUCGAGGGGAGGUGGUGGAAUCUUAGAUGUGGCGAAUAAGGCUUCCAUCACUGUGUCUUCAGCAGGCUCUACAAAAGGGGCCGACUCAGGCACCCUAGACUUUAGGAUCAUAUCAAAGUUCGCUCGCAGACUCUCGACCGCAGCCUGAAGGGUCGACACAUCCACCUGAGGGGAUGACCGGGCAAGCACCCGCAACUCAAAAGCGUCAAGCGCUGAUGAACCUCACCGAUAUUCUGCUCUAUGUGCAGGACCAUUCUCUGCUCCAAGCGCUCUUCUGCCUCAGCAAUAGACCUCUGCAUCCAAGUCUGGAUGUGAUGCAGAAGUGUAGCCAUCUGUGCCUCUAAUUUCUAGACCCUAGCAAGAGGGACCAGAGCAGGGAAAGGGGUUGAGUAAAAGGAGCUCGGGGCAGUGCUACUACCCAGGAUAGACUCAACCGGGGUAGUGUUUCUGGAAGCCGCCUGCGUAGCCGUGCGGGCCUGUGCUACUGUAUUAACCAGAUUGUCACCAAGUGGAGGCAACUCUGGAUGGGGCCCUCUGUGUGGAGCCAACUCAUUGGCUUCAUCCAUAAUGAGGCUGAUAUCAAUAGUGCCCAGCGGGGUCUUGAGCUGAUCAACGUUCCAUAUAGGCACACGUGCGGACCUGCAUAGAGAAAAUAUCAUGCACGAUAAAGGGUUAGUAGUUGUGACCUUAAAAGCCCUCUCAUGCAUGACUGCCUGUAGAAGCCAAGCAAAAUCCACCUCAAACUCGGCUAUCAUUGCCGCCAUUAGUACUGCUCAAUCCCAUGUGACUAUAUUAUCAGCGGCUAUGUAGGAAAGGCAGUGGAGGACAAUCAACCACAAAAACUUUGCCGUGAAGGUUAGAUUAGCCUUCUUGAUGGCUCCGUUCGGCUCGGUCACCCAGUCAGCACCCUCUCCAUCAACGGACAACUGCAGGGUCAUCCACAUCUUGGUGGUCUAUAUCAAGGAUGGCUCACGCGGGAAUUGGCCAUCUUUGACAAUUUGCCACUGGUAGUCAAACUCGGCGGUGAGAGGGGUCCAGUUGGCAUCAACAUUCUCGCCGUAUGGAUACCGGCGGAUGGCAGGCAGAGAGAUAUCAAACUGAAUGCCAUGUAUUCGGACAUGCUCCAGUGGGGCCUAUUUGGUGGAAGAAGCUCGACUAUAAAUUUGUGAUCUGAGAGUAGCUACGUAGAGGCGUAGAAUUCUCGGACCAACUCUUCACUAUAACGUCCCAACAGAUGCGUUGUACACUCCAGUUGAUGUCUGGUGAAGAGAUUUUGGAUCUCUGGCAUCGUCGGUAGACUUCCCAUAAGGACUCACCGCUCCAAUGUAAGAGUUUGUGUCAUAAAUCCUUUGUCAUUCAGAACUUCGCAUCGAAAUAGACUUGAUACUUCCCGUCAACACACCACCGGUUGGGCUGGUUAGCAAUCGGGGUGAGAGCACAAUUCAGUGAACCGGGUGUGGAUUCCGAACUGUCAGCCUCAUCAGACGAGGAAGACGGUAAAGUGGUGGCUGGUGUAGGGACCUCAGCAGAUCCGGUGGUUUCCUCCGACCACGAAACUCCUAAGGAGCCAGACACUCCUUAUUCAUUAGUAGCUGACCCAGAAGGUGUGCCGGUCAUUGUGCGCUCCUCAUUAGACUGGGAGGCAGUGACUACGCCGGAUGCCACCUGUUAGGGUGUGGCUCUGGCAGCACGUGCAGCUCGGGAUGGGGUGGAAGUGCCUGGGGGUACGUACUCGGGGUCAUGCUCAUCAUCAGAGCCAAUGACAAGGCGGGUAGAUGGCGCGAUAGACUUCGAUCGCCCAUGUGCGUAGACUCGAUCUUUUUUUGGUGCCAUGAUUGAUAGUACCUAUAAAGAAUCAUUAUUAGUACUAGAAGGAGCGAACAAGACAAGCAAAACGACAUAAAAUAAAUAAAAGACUGAAGAUGUAAUAACAUUUCUAUAGUAACAGUGAAACAUGAUGGACCAGUUGACGGCUCGUCGUGAAUAUGACUAACCGUCAUGGGAUCCGUCAUGUCUUACUUAAACUAUGUUUAUGUGGAGAACCCUGAAGGAAAGUCUCUGACAAGUAUGACGGUAUACGAAGGACGGACCGUUGUUAUUACGAUAGUCCAUCUCGAUGUCCGUCGUGGGACACUUAGAAAAAAGUAUUGAGAGAAGGGUCUCUGACCGUCAUGACGGUUAUACAAGACUAACUGUUGAGGGUAUGACGAUCCAUCGUAGGUGUCCGUCAGAGGAUAAUUGGAAAAAGUAUGGAGCCCUUUAGGAGAGGGUUCUCUGACCGUCAUAACUGUUAUGCAGGACGGACCGUCGAUGGUAUGACAGUCCAUCGUAGAGGUCCGUUGGAGGACACCUAGGAAAAGUGAGAGACCCUUAGGAUCAAGGUCUCUGACAACCAGAACGGUUGUCCAGGACGGACCGUCGUGGGAACGACGGUCUGUCGAAUGUGUCCGUUGGUGGACACUUGGAAAAAAUUAAACACUAGGGUGUUAGGGAUGUUGGAACGGACCAAAUGAUGGUCCAUCAUGGGUACGAUGGUCCGUCAUCAUGGUCUCGUUCUGUCAUUCACUGACAGAAUUGGGGAUUCCUCAUUCAUCCCCAUAGACCCAAAUGAAAUUAUUAGUGUUUUAACCUACAUUUAUCUAACCCAACUACCUACUAAACUAGAAAUGCUAAAGCACCUAGUUCUAGAGUUUUAACACGGCAAUUUUGAGGAUUCUCAACCUAGGUCAGACAGAGUUUUAUUAAAGAAUGAACCCAUCAAGAAGAACUAGGCUAAUACUAAUUAAUAAACCAAAAUUCAAUGUAGAUGGGUAGAAAUCAGAGACACAUACCUGAGAAUUUGAGAAAAACAAGCGAGGAAGGUACUUGGUGAUCAAGUAAAGAAUCACAGUGGCAGACUCCGGCUAGUAGAUAGUGAAUUUUAGGAAUUGGGGAAUUUGGGAAAAUGAUCGGUUGUAAGAGAGGGGGGGUUAUGAACUUCGAAGUUAAAAAGGAAGGGAAAUGGGAGGAAGAGGGAAGGAGGGGGGUGAAAUGAAGGGGGUGGGGUUUUUAAUGUUAAGAAUUUUUAAAAACCCCAGCCGGGUCGGGUCGGGUAUGCUUCAUUAAUGACGCGACGAGUCCCUGACAAUAGUCCCUUGCACCUGACACGGUCCGUCAUUGGUUCCGUCGCGUAUGCCCUAGUUUUGAAAAUAACAGAUGGACGUACCUGGCACGACGAAUUCAUGGGACGGUCCAUCGCGGUCUUGACGGGCCGUCGAUGUAUCCAUCAGUAAAUGUUGCAGAGUGAUUUUCUAUAGAAUUUCCAUGUGAUGUUCCUGCAAAUUUUAAACCCGUUAAUAGAAAACGCUACCAUUACUAAAAAAAUAAUAAGUAUUGGGUUGCCUCCCAACAAGCCCCUGAUUUAACGUCGCGGCACGACUGAGGACACUUGAUUACUCAUCCUUCAUCAAGAUGGUAUGCCUCUAUAACUUCAUUCACCGAUGUAGUAUGCCCAAAAUAGAGUUUUAUUCAUUCUCCACUCACCUUAAACCACACUCCCUCCUUUAUUUUUAACUCAACUGCCCCAUGAGGAAAUACUUGGGUAAUCAAGUAAGGGCCAGUCCGUUUGGACUUGAGCUUGCUCGGAAGCCAACGCAACCUUGAACUGUCUAGAAGCACUAAAUCCCCAACCAUAAACUCUCGUUUUUCAUUUUUAGGUCAUUAUCCUUCUUCAUUUUUUCUUUGUAGGAUAUACCAGAUAUCGAUUGGAGCUCACCACUCUGCCUUAUGGACCUACAAAUGUUGAAGGUCGCUUCUUCAUUUUUCAACCGAAAUUUCAUCUGCCCCUUUUCCAUAUCAACUAAGGCUCUACCCGUAGCAAGGAAUGGCCUCCCAAGAAUAAUAGGCACUUCAAAAUCAACUUCACAAUCAAGAAUAACAAAAUCUGCCGAAAAUAUGAAUGAGUCCACUUUUACUAGCACAUCGUAGAGUAUCCCUAUAGGCCUUUUCACUGUUCGAUCAGCCAUCAGUAGCUACAUUGCAGUGGGCUUUGGGUCACCCAACCCCUACUUAUUGUAAAUCGAGAGGGGCAUGACAUUUAUGCUUGCCCCCAGAUCACAUAAUGCUUUCACAAGACGUAAUGACCUGACUGUACAAGGAAUAUUGAAGGCACCCGGAUCUUCUUUCUUUUGUACGAGAGAUCUUGUAGCAAUAGCACUACAAUGAUGCAUUCUAUCAUCAUCCUCAAAAGUGACCAAUCUUUUCUUUGUAACCAAAUCUUUCAUAAACUUGGCAUAACCAGGCAUUUGUUCUAGAGCUUCUACCAAAGGGACAUUGAUAGAAAGCUGCUUCAGCAUUGUUAUAAAACACUGAUAUUUACCAUCCUCGGUCUUUUUCACUUAUAUCUACGAAAAGGGGAGUGGUGGUCUAGGCAUGGGAAUUACCUUUAUAGGGACUUCUGCAUCUUGUCCAGUGCUAUCUUCUGUUUUACCACUACCCUCUACCACCUUAUCAUUACCCUUUCUCACCUUUUCCUUAUUAGACGGCAUAGGUGGAUCAAUGGUUUGCUUACCACCCGAGUAGUGAUUGCCAUAUAGUGUGCAUCAUUUUUAAGAUUUUGGACAGUGUUGCUAGGAAGAGUGCCCGGUUUCCGUGUGUUCAUAGUUUUAGAUAUUUGGGCCAUUUGUAACUCGAUCUGCUUAAUCGAUAUUGCAUGUGUAUCGAAUUUUUGCCCAGUACUUGCUAAAUCACUCCUUAACUCUUUAAUGUGCUUAUCACUAGCAUCGAACCUCCUCAUCAUUUUGUGCAAAAUAUCCUCAACUCGCACGAUACUACUUCCACCAUCCCUAGGAGUAACUUCACGAUUUUGAAGAGGGACAUAGGGCCCAUUCCUAUCAUUCUGUUACCAUAGUUACCCUUGUUGAAGUUGUUGUCGCGGUUGUAGUUUCCAUCUCGGAUAUAAUGACCCUCACGGUUAUAGUUACCAUAGAUCUGUCCUUGGUUCCCUUGACCUUGGAGCCAAUUAUCCUGAUUUGAGCCUUGGGCACUCGGUUGGAAACCCCUGUCUGCUCAUUUACGUCAUAGGAAUCCUCCGCAUAAUAGCAUUCAUCAUUAGGUGGUGGUGGUUUAGACAAGUAGUUAACUGCAUUUAUCUUUUCUACACCCCCAGUGAUAUUCUUUAAUACCAAUCCAAGCUCAGUUCUCAUCUGUGCCAUCUCUUCACAGAUCUCAUCUGUGGCUAGGUUGUGAGUGGAUUGCACUACGAAGGUGUUUCUCCCAGUAUCUGACUUCCUAGUACUCCAAGCUUUAUUGUUUUGGGAGAUUUUCUCUAACUUUGUAGCAAUCUCCGCAUAAGGACACUCCCCAUAAGAACCACUCGCUAUAGUAUCCAACACCACUUUAUUAUUAUCAUCUUGUUCCCUAUAGAAGUAUUCCUUCAGUAACUCAUCAUCUAUGCGGUGAUUGGGGACACUUUUCAAAAAUGAGGUGAAUCUAUCCCAAGAACUAAUAACUGACUCUCCUGGUAGUGCUACAAAGUUGUUCACUCUGUCUUUGUGGUUUAGCUUCUUGGAGACCGUGUAGUAGCGUGCAAAGAAAACGUCCCUUAGUUGGUUACAAGUGAAAAUUGAGUUGUAAGAGAGCUUAGUGAACCAAAUAGCAGCCUCUCCUGUCAGUGAGAGAGGAAACACUCUUAGCCCUAUUACAUCCAAGUCCAAGUUAGGCCUCCCUACACAACAUUUUAUCACUGCCCUUACCUUAGCUAUAUAGGCAUGUGGAUCCUAAGAAGGUAGCCCUGAAAACAAACCUCUGGUAAUGAGCAUUUGCAUCAGCCUACUAGUUACCACAAAGGUGUGGCCUGGUGCUAAAGGGGGAAAGACAAGCGGCCUAUCAGAUUUUGCUAUAUUGUCAUAGCCUCUGUAGUAUUCUUGGGGACGUGCAGCGGGAUUGUGUCCUCUAUGUUGGUUUUCACCCAGAGAAUCGAGUGACAACUGACCAUGAACAUCAAUCAAAGCUGGGAAGUUCUGGUUUGGAUCAUCAUCAUUAAUUCCUAAGUUUUGAUUAAUGUUGCAUAGUGUACGCUCUAAUUCGUGAUCAUAGGGAAACAAGGGGUUUUUCCUCCUUGUGUAUUUGGCAUACAAGGAAGAUGGUUCUGCAAGAAUCAAAAACAAUAAAAUAAAGUAAAAUCAAGAAAAUAUCAACUAAACUAUAGUAAUAAGUUUAAGUUAAUCCAAAAGCUACUUUCCCCGACAGUGGCGCCAAAAUUUGAUACGCUCAAACUUACUUCUCAAAUAAGAAGUAAAGCGAUCGUAUCAUGUAAAUAACUCAACUAAUGAGGUUGGGAUCGUUUUCACAUGGAAAAUAAUUUAGACUUAACUUCAAUCUAUUAUCACUAUUGUUCAGUCAAUUAUUUCCUUGGAAAACAAAGACAAUAAAAGGGGGGUUUUUUACUUCUAAAUGAAUGAACAUAACUAGCUAAAUUGAAGGAGACAACUAAUAGCUUCAAAUGUUGAAGUUUAAUCAAUUAAUCAAAGUAACUAGGGUUUACGUGUUCCCCACAGGUUCGUAACUUGAUAAUUCUAACUAUAACAAUUCUUUCCUAGUAUCUUGCAUGCAAAGUGAUAAGUUAUGUAUUUCUAAAUCCUUGGUCCGGCAUCUAGAAAAUUUCACUCUGCACCUUGGUCAGGCUACGUGUGUUGCUAUACUAACCCUUACAUUUACCUCAUAUUAAGCAUCAUAUUCGAUGUUUGACUAAGUUAUUAGAUCGUACCAAUCAAUACUAGCCUAUUAGAUAGUAUACACUAAAUCUAUGUUGAUAAUUCUUUUCCUAUUAUCUACCUCCUUGGUCCGGCAAGUAGCAUUAAGGUGAGUUCUAACGUUGACCAUCCGUUAAAAAGACUUCUAAGCGAAAGAAUUAUCAAUACAUGCAAGACACUAUUCUAGAAUUUUUAUUUUAGUUAGGUUUUACCUCAUUAUUUGCCUAUGGUUCCCACAACCCUAGUUAUGGAGUUUAGUUACCCAUAGUCGUAAUCACAAUAUUCAAAUAUGUAAUUAUAAGAAUUCAUGCACUUACUCCAAUGAGAAAGAAUAAAAUCCAUAAGUUAACUUGAUUAAUCAACAAAAGUCACCGUAAAUCAAUUACUGAAAUUAAUUGAAGACUAAAGAUUCUCCAAAAGUGUAACAAUAAUCACCAAAUCUAAUCCAGAAAAGAAGCUCAAAUAAUUAAGAGUCUACCAAUAAUACAGAGUCUAACCCCAAAAAUGAGGCUUUUUGAACUAUUUAUAAAAAAUAAAAACCUAAUUAAAUAAGGACUCUAUUUGCUGGAAAUCUGUCAAAAUGCGGUUGGGUCGACGGACAUCACGACGGAUUAUCGUGGUCACAAUGGGUCGUCUUGGAUUCCGUCGUCCCAUGAUUAUGCAAUGUCUUCUGCUGCAUUCUUCAUUACCCUCGACGGCAGGUAUGACGGAUCGUCUCCGUUCCAAAACACUUAAACUCUUGGAAUUUGGGUACUGGGACUACUUCUUUGAUCUUCAUGACGAACUAGUAGGAUGGACCGUCAUGGCUACGACGGUCCGUCACGCACUCCGUAACCCCACACUUGGUCAAAAUUCCCCAUCUUCCUUCAGCAGCUGCACUAUGAUGCUAGCUACGGACUGUCAUGAGCACGAUAAACUAUCACAAGCUCUGUAGGUGGUACUUUUCUGUACUUCUUGCUCAAAAACCUCCGCAUUCAUCUAUUAGACAGAAUUCCUGCAAAUAAAGAGAAACAUACAUAAAAAUUAGUACAAAAAGGCUUUUGAACACACUAAACUUAAGGAAAAAGUAUUAAAAAUACCGUGAAACCACGGUAUAUCACUCACAUUUCUCAUCAUCCUCAACCUUUUCUAAGUUGUGAUUAUCCCCAUCUAUUUCAUCCUCAUAAUUGUCCACAACAUAUUCAUCAAAAUUAGGCACUCUGUUCAUCUUACAUAUUUGUUGUCUCUUAUUUGGUGGUUUAGAAGGAGGAGGAGUCAUAUGUUGAGCCUGAAGAUUAUCAUCAACCAUAACAACUUUGUUGCAUAAUACCUCUCUCUUUUCUUGUCCUCGUAUUUUAGGCUUAGGGUUUUGGGUUAAUGGUUUAGGGUUAGAGUUAGGAUUAAGGUUAGGGUUAGAGUUUGGGUUAGGGUUUAGGUUUUUUAGGUUGUAGGGUUUGUGGUUUAGAAUUUGAGGUUUAAAAUCAAUAGUUUAGUGUAUAAUGUUUAAGUUUUUGUAUUUUGGACUUUGUCUUUAUUUAAUACUUAAACUUUAGGGUUUAGGAUUUAGGUUUAGGGUGUCGGUUCUUUUAGGUUUUAUGGCUCACUAUUUAGCAUUUGAGGUUAAAAUCUAUGGUUUGGUAUUUAAAAUUUGGAUUUUUGAUAUUUUGGGCUUAGGGUUUCCGGUUUAUGGUUUAGAGUUAGGGUUAGGGUUAAGAAUAGGGUUAGAGUUUUGGUUUUUUUAUUUUUUGGUUUAGGUUUUAGGAUUUGAUGUUUAAUAUUAAUGAUUUAUUGUUUAAUGUUUGGGUUUUGGUAUUUUGGGCUUGGGGUUUAGGGUUUAUGGUACGGUUAGGGUAACGUUAAUGUUCGGGUUUAGGGGUAAGGGUUAGGGUUAGGAUGUAGGUUUUUUUUUAGGUUUUAUGGUUAAGGGUUUAGCAUUUGAGUUAUAAAAUCUAUGAUUUAGUAUUUAAUUUUUGGGUUUUGGUAUUUUGGGCUUAAGGUUUCGGGUUUAUGGUUUAGAGUUAGGGUAGGAUUAAGGAUAGGGUUAGGUUUUUGUUUUUUUAAAAAUUGUUUGGUUUUGGUUUUAGGAUUUGAUGUUUAAUAUCAAUCUUUUAUUGUUUAAUAUUUAGUUUUUGGUAUUUUAGUCUUGGAUUUUAGGGUUUAUGGUAUGGUUAGAGUUAGGGUAAUCUUAGGGUUAGGUUUAGGUUUUUUUUGGGUUAUAUAGUUUGGGGUUAAGGAUUUGAGUUCUAAUAUCUAUGGUUUAGUGUUUAAUGUUAGGGUUUUGGUAUUUUGGGAUUUGGGUUUAGGGUUUAGGGUUUAGGUUAAGGGUUAAGGAUAGGGUUACGUUUAGAGUUCGUGAUAGGGAUAUGUUUAGGGUUUUUUAAGUUUUAGGUUUUGGGGUUAAGGAUUUUUAGAUUAAAAUCUAUAGUUCAAUGUUUAAUGUUUGGGUUUUGAUAUUUUGGAAUUGGAGUUUUGAGUUAAUGUUUAGGGUUAGGUUAAUGUUAAGGUUAGGGUCAGGGUUUAUGUUUUUUUAGGUAUUAGGGUUUUUGGUGUAGGAUUUGAGGUUUAAAAUUUAUAAUUUAUUUUUUAAUGUUUGGGUUUUAUUAUUUUGGACUUAGGGUUUAGGGUGUAGGGUUUAGGGUUAGUAUUAGGGUUAGGGUUAGGGUUAGGGUUAGAAUUAGGAUGUUGAUUUUGCUAGGUUUUAUUGUUCAGGGUUUAUAAUAUGAGGUUUAAAAUUUAUGAUUUAGUAUUUAAAGCUUGAGUAUUUGUAUUUUGGGCUUAGGGUUGGGGUUUAUGGUUUAUGGUUAGAGUUAGGGUUAGGGUCAGGGUUUUUGUUUUUUUUAGGUUCUUCGGUUUAGGAUUUAAGGUUUAAUAUCAAUGGUUUAGUGUUUAAUGUUUGGGUUUUGGUAAUUUAGGUCUAGGGUUUUAGGUUUGUGGUAGGGUUAGAGGGUUAAUGUUGGGAUUAGGGUUAGGGUUUAGGUUGUGUUUUAGGUUAUAGUAUUUGGGGUUGAGGAUUUAAGUUGUAAUAUCUAUGGUUUUUAGUGUUUAAUAUUAGGGCUUUGGUAUUAUGGGCUUUGGAAUUAGGGUUUACGACUUAAGGUUAAGGCUAAGGAUUGGGUUAGGGUUAGGGUUCAUGUUAGGGAUAGGGUUAGGUUAGGGUUUAGGGUUUUUUAGGUUUUAGGUUUGGAGGUUUAGGAUUUUUUGUUUAAAAUGUAUGGUUGAGUUUUUAAUAUUUUGCUUGUUGUAUUUUGGGAUUGGGGUUUAACGUUAUUGGUUUAGGGUUAGGGUAAGUGUUAAGGUUAGGGCUACGGUUUGGGUUAGGGUUAGGGUUUAUUUUUUUAGGUUUUAGGUUUUGUAGUUUAGGAUUUGUGUUUUAAAAUCUAUUGUUUAUUGUUUAAUGUUUGGGUUUUCGUAUUUUGGACGUAGGAUUUAGGGUAUAGGGUUUAGGGUUAGGGUUAGGGUUAGGAUUUAAGGUUAUGGUGUAUGUUUUUGUAUUUUUGUUUUAUGGUUCAGGGUUUAGCAUUUGAGGUUUAAAAUCUAUGGCUUAGUAUUUAAUGUUUGGGUUUUGAUAUUUUGGGAUUUUUUUAAAAAUUGGAACGUGAUACGCUCAAACUUGCUUACCAAAUAAGAAAUAAAGCGGUCAUAUCAAGUAAAAUCCCAACUAAUGAGGUUGGAUUCGUUUCCACGAGGAAAAUAGUUCAGACUUAACUUUAAUCUAUUAUUACUAUUAUUUAGUCAAUUAUUUCCUUAGAAAACAAAAGACAAUAAGGGGGGGUUAUUUCUAAAUUAAUGAAAAUAACUAUCUAAAUUAAAGUAAACAACUAACAGAUUAAAAUCUUGGAGUUUAAUAAAUUAAUAAAGUAACUAGGGUUUAAGUGUUCCCCACAGGUUCCUAACUUGAUAAUUCUAACUAUAACAAUUCUUUCCUAGUAUCUUGCAUCCAAAGUGAUAAGUUAUAUAUUUCUAAAUCCUUGGUCCGGGAUCUAGAAAAUUUUACUCUGCACCUUGGUCGGGAUACGUGUGUUGCUAUACUAACCCUUACCUUUACCUCAUAUUAUGCACCGCAUUAGAUAUUUAACUAAGUUAUUACCUCGUACCAAUCAAUACUAGCCUAUUAGAAAGUAUAAACUAAAUCUAUGUUGAUAAUUCUUUUCCUAUUAUCUACCUCCUUGGUCCGGCAAGUAGUAUUAAGGCAAUUUCUAACAUUGGCCAUCUGUUAAAAAGACUUCUAAGUGAAAGAAUUAUAAAUACAUGCAAGACACUAUUCUAGAAUUGUUAUUUUAGUUAGAUUUUGCCUCAUCAUUAUUCACCCAUGGUUCCCACAACCCUAGUUAGGGAGUUUAGUUACCCAUAGUCAUAAUCACAAUAUUCAUAUAUGUAAUAUAAGAAUUCAUUCACUUACUUUAAUGAGAAAGAAUAAAAUCCAAAAGUUCACUUUAUUAAUCAACAAAAGCACCAAAAAUCAAUUCCAGAAAAAAGUGUAUUAAUUCUUGAAAUUAAUCGAGGACUAAAGAUUCUCAAAAAUUAUAACAAUCACAAAGUCAAAUAACAAUGACUCUACUAACAAAGAGUCUAACAUAAGAAAAUCUAACCCCCAAAAUGAUAUUUUUCCAACGACUUAUAAAAAACAAAAACCUAAUAAAAGAAGGACUCUAAUUGCUGAAAAUCCAUCAUCCUAUACUUUACAAAUCCUUCUGCUGUUUUCUUUAUUACCCUCGACGAACACGUAUGACAGACCGUUCUAAGCAUGAUGGUCUGUCGAGGGUCUCCGUUCCAUAACACUUAAACUUCUUGGAGUUUGGGUACUGGGACUAGUCUCUGAUCAUCACGACGAACCAGCAGGUCUAUGACAGUCCGUCAUGAACUUUGUAAUCCCACACUUAGGUCAGACUUCCCCAUCUUCCUUCAGCAGAUUCACUACGAUGCCACCUACGGAUCGUCACAAGCUUGACGGACCAUCACAAGCCCCAUAGGUGGUAACUUUUCUUCAUUUCUUGCUCAAAAACUUCCGUGUUUAUGUUUGGACAGAUUUCCUACAAAUAAUGAGAAACUUACAUAAAAAUCAAUGCAAAAAGGCUUUUGGACAAACACUAAACUUAAGGAAAAAGAAUUUAAAAUACCGUGAAGCCAUGAUAUAUCAACACCCUCAACUUAAAUUCUUUGUUUGUCCUCAAGCGACGCACUAUGACUCACUACAAAAUCUUUGUACAAUAGUAUCCAUGUUUUAGCUUUCGCAAUCAUUUGGCUAUCAAUCCCGAUCAGUCUCAUCAUGUUUAUGCAUGUUGUCACUAUUAGGCUUGAAUUAUGUGGAAUCAUACCAUGACACAGACUCACCAUGCACUGACACCUAUCUUCUUCAAUUUCUCACCGAGGUGCUAAAAUUUCCGGUAUUGCAACUAGUGUCCUCACUUCAAAACAACAUCCUCAUUUUUCACACAAUGAUUUCAGUUUAAGUAUAAGGAUUACUUUUCAACACUCACUCUCAGAAUAAAUUCACAACUCAUUCAUACAUAUUGCCAUAAGCUUGCCCUUAUUUUCACUGCUUUAAGUUCGCCAUACAAGUCCUAGGAUCACGAUAGGACUUUCUUAGCUUGAAAAAUAGGCUGAGGGUCAGGUAGGGUAUAUUUAGGUAUACUUUAGUGACUUUUCUCCCUCCUUGACAUAUCGACUAAACAUUCCACUUUUUAUCAUUUUAUUUCGCCCAAUUUCUCAUAUGCUUUCACCUUGAUAUUUUCCCUUCUUUCUUCAUUUGUGUAAGUGACUCUCUUCUUUUCUUGCUUGUAUUCAUUGUAUUUUAUUUUUUUAAUGUCACUUUUGUUUCAACUGGUUCUUGAGUCACUUUACUUUUGGGUCAGGGCCACGAAAAGGUGGUUUACUGCAUUAGCCACCCUCAACUUAUGCUUUUGGCAUAAGCUGAGGUGCACAUGUCCAACGAGGGACCAGGGCCAACACAUUAUUCCCAGAAUAAAUCAGCUGGGGUGAAAAAGAAAGGUCUAUUUUAAGCUCAAAUCAUUAGGAUCAAAGACGGAUUAAUUUCAUUCAUUUUUUUAUAUUUAUUUAGGCUAAAAAUUGGCUAUAUUUAACAAGGGCCUAUGAUCCUUUCCUAAUUAUUUACUACAGCUUACUUUUAGUAGGACUAACGAGGCAAGUUCUAGCUCAGUACAAAUAGUGGACUAUUCAAAUCUUCCUCACACUCACUUGACGUCUAAUUACUCUACCAGAUUAUCAGACACCUAGUUUGAAUUUUAAACUUAGGGCUAUGCAGUGGUGUAUCUCUAUGUCAUGCUUAGAGCCAUAAAUUCACGAAUUACUAUACCUAGUCAUGCAUCAUUUGCAUUACAUCAGGAUAUCAUUUUAGCCAUCAUGCUUCGGAGUUAAACUAUGUACACAAGAUAUAGACAUGCCGGUUCAAUAAUAAAAAAAUCAGUCUCUUGGGGGAAAAGAACACAUGCAAGAAAACCCCAAUAGAGGAUAGUGAAUUUGGCUACUCAGACUUCAGCCUAGCAUUCACUUUCCAUUUACCCCACCCCCAACAAAAAGAUAUGCAAUUGUCCCCAAUGCAUAAAAAAAUUGAAAUACGAGAGUGGUAGCUGAAGCAAACCUGAGGUGCAAAGCGUCAACGAUCAACAAGCUGGUGGGUCCGGUUCCCCUAAACCCACUACUUCUGUUGUCUCGACACCCUCAGUAGUGUCCGCAUCAGCAACAGCACUAUAAGCAGUGCCUCCCAUUAUCGCCCAUCUCUGGAGCUAGAUUCCCUAGUAGCUGACUCUACAACCUUGAUCCGACGUGCCCCCUUAUCAGUAAGCGAGGUUCUCCUCGCACCCUCUAUCUCACGGUGCUCCUUCUUCUGUGAUCCAGAUUCAUCCUCCUCUCGACCCUUGCGCCUCUUGACAUUCUCUCGAGGAGGAGGUGGUGGAAUCUCAGAAGUGGCGAAUGUGGCUGCCAUCACUUUGUCCUCCGCAGGCUCUACAGAAGGGGCCUCAGACUCAGGCACCCUAUCCUCUAGGAUCAUAUCAAUGUCUGCUCGCAGACUCUCGACCACAGCCUGAAGGGUCGACAGGUCCAUCUAAGGGAUUGGUCGGGCUAGCACCCGCAACUCAAAAGCAUCCAAGCGCUAAUAAACCUCAACGAUCUUUCGCUUUGUGUGCUGGACUAUUUUACGCUCCAAGCGCUCUUUUGUCCCAGCAAUAGACAUCUGCAUCCAAGGCUGGAUGUGAUGCAUAAGCUUAGCCAUCUGUGCCUCUAGUUUCUGGACCCUAGCAAGCGGGACUAGAGCGGGGAAAGGGGAUUAAUGAGAGGAUCUCAGGGCAGUGCUACUACUCAGGAUAUACUCGACUGAGGUAGUGUCAGUGGUUUCAAAAGUAGCCUACAUAGCCAUUCGAUCAUGUGCUACCGUAUCCGCCAGAUUUUCACCAAGUGGAGGCAACUCUGGAUGGGGACCUCUGCAUGGAGCCAAAUCAUUGGCCUCACCUCAUCCCUGAUGAGGCUAAUAUCAAUAGUGCCCAGCGGAGUCUUGAGCUGAUCGAUGUGCCAGCUGGGCACACCUGCGGACCUGCAUAUGGAAAAUAUCAUGCACAGCAAAGGGUAAGUAGUUGUGACCUUGAAAGCCCUCUCGUGCAUGACCGACUGUAGGAGCCAAGCGAAGUCUACCUCAAACCUGGCUAUCAACACCACCAUCAGAACAUCACCAUCCCAAGUGACUAUAUUAUUAGCGGUCGUGGGGGAAAGGUAAUGGCGGACAAUCAACAAUAAGAACUUAGCUGUGAAGGUCAAGUUAGCCUUCUUGAUGGCUCUCUUAGGCUUCAUUACCCAGUCGGCACCCUCUCCAUCAACGCACAAGUGCAGGGUCAUCUACAUCUUGGUGGUCUCUCUCAGCGAUGGCUCACGCAACAAUUUGCCAUCUUUUACAAUUUUCCACCAAUAGUCAAACUCGGCUGUGAAAGGGGUCCUGUUGGCAUCAACAUCCUCAUCGUAUAGAUACCGACAGAUGGAGGGCAGGGAGAUAUCGACCUAAAUGCCAUGUACUCGGACAUGCUCAAGUGGGGCCUGUUUUGUGGGGGCAGCCCGCCUAUCUAUCUUUGAUUUGAGAGUAGCCACGUAAGAGACAUAGAAAUCUCGAACAAACUCCUCACUAUAACGGCCUAAAGAAUGAGCUGUCCACUCCAGUCGGUGUCUGGUGAAGAGAUUGUGGAUCUCUAGCAUGGUGGGGAGACUUCCCGUACGGACCCGUCUCUCUAGUGUAAGGGUCUGUGUCAUGACGCCUUUAUUAUUUAGAAACUUGGCAUCGGAAUACACUUGAUAUUACCCGUUGACACACCAUCAGUUGUGAUGGUUGGCAACUGGGGUGAGAGACCAGUCGGUGAGUCGGGAGUGGAAUCAGGACUGUCAGCCUCAUUAGACGAGGCAGACUUUGCAGAUGCAGCGGGGGCAGGGAAUUCGACGGACCCAGAGGCUUCCUCUGACCACAAAACUCCUAAGGAUCCAGACGCUCCUUCUUCAUGUGUAGGUGACGUAAAAGGUGUGCCGGUCAGUGUGCGCUCCUCAUUAGACUGGGAGGCAGUGACUAUGCCGGACGCCACCUUUUUGGGCAUAGAUCUGGUAGCACGUGCAGCUCGUGAUAGAGUGGCAGUGCCUGGGGGCACGUACUCCGGGUCAUGCUCAUCAUCAGAUCCUAUAACCAGUCAGGCAAAUGGGGCGACAAACUUUGAAUGCCCAUGUGCAUAAACUCGAUCUUGUUUUGGUGCCAUUAGAGAUAGUACCAGUAAAGAAUCAAUAUUAGUACAACAAGGAGCAAACAAGACGAGCAAAAAUGACACAAAAUGAAUAUAAGAGCUAAGCUGUAAUAACUUUUUUGCAGUAAUAGUGAAACACGACGGACAAGGUGACGGCUCGCCGUGAGUACAACGGACAGUCAUGGGAUCCGUCAUGUCUUACUUCAACUAUGUAAUGUGGAGACCCCUGAAGGAAAGUCUCUGACAAGUAUGACGGCUAAGCAAGACAGAUCGUCAUGACAAUGACUGUCCGUUGUCGAUAUCCGUCGUGGGGUACUUAGAAAAAAGUAUGGAGACCCUUAGGAGAGGGGUCUCUGACUAUCACGACGGUUGUGCAGGACAGAUCGUCGAGGUUAUGAUGGUCUGUCGUAGACGUCCGUCAGAGGACACGUAGAAAAAGUGGGACACCCUUAGGACAAGUGUCUCUGACAACCAUGAAAGUUGUGCAGGACGGACCGUCGUGGAAAAUGAUGGUCCGUCGUAGUUGUCCGUCAAAGGUCACAUAUAAAAAGUAUGGAGACCCUUAGGAUAUGAGUCUCUGACCGUCAUGACAGUUGUGCAGGACGAAACGUCGAUGGUAUGACAGUCUGUCUAGAAGAUCGACCAAUGGGAAUCGAGACAUCACCAUUUGCGGGAGCACUAGAGAGAUCAAUAUGAUGUCUGCUUACUUAAGGAAGUUGUUUGAUCCACAGAAAGUGUUGGAGGCGGCUGAGCACAUCCCAUCCCACAAGAGUCAAGCCCUUCAACGGGUUAAACGUGCCAUAAAUGGGCUUUUAGUGGACUCAAAAAAAUCUUGAUAUAAUAGAUAUCCCGAUAAGAGGAGGAUUAAAUUUUUUUUAUCAUGAGCCCAUCACAGAGAUGCAAAGAGGAAGUGAACAAACGUCAGUAUCUUGAGCGACCGAUCAAGAAAUGCAAAGAUCAGGGGAAUGGUUAGUGAUGAAGUCAGAGGACAGAGAAAGUUCCUUCUCACUCUUUUGAAUCCCGGGGAUUGCCUCAGGGAAGAGGCCAGUCCCUGAAAAAGCCAUCUCGAUUGGUAUCAUUCAAAUGCGAAUAUAGGCCUGAUUGAAGCAUAAAAGUGAAAUGAUAAUAAUGAGAGGCUUUUUUCCGUUGAUGGUCAUCUUACUUGUCUCCUACGCUACUCUCUCAACUUGAUCAAUCGCUUUGUCCUGAUUUAUGGAAGAGGUGCCCUGUGGAACAUGUUUUAUGGAAUUGAACUCUUUAUUCCAUAUUUCUUUUCUUACUGAUUGAAUGAAACCUCUAACAAUAAAGAAGAGAUUUAAUCAGCCAGCGUAAUAACUUCAUCAAUAGUCUUUGUUACAGAUUCGGUCAAGAGGAAGAAACUUAGAAUAUCAUAGCCGCUCAUGCUUAUUUUGGCCGAUUUAUCUUCCAAUAUGCUAGUUUCAACAACUCUCGUUCGUACACAUCUUCUCUUUGUUUCCCGUGCCUCUAGUGAGUUAGAGACAGAGUUCAAAAAGGUCAAAACUUUUAUGAUUCCAUCAUCUAUGAUUGAGUUGCGAAAACUUCUGGAUAGGUAUCCUCCAUCUAAACCGAAUUCUUUCUUUUUAAAGAAUCCCUUUCUAGUAGCUCUGGAACAAUUAGGAGAUUCUAUACGGUGUUUUGCUUCUGGCGGCAACAUGCUUGGCCCCGCUUAUGGGGUAAAAUCAAUACGUUCUAAGAAGAAAGAUUGGAAUAUCAAUCUCAUCGAGAUCAUCAAUCUCAUACAAAAUCCCAUCAAUAAAAUCACUUUUUCGAGAAAAUACGAGACAUCUAAGUCAUACAAGUAAAGAGAUCUAUUCAUUUUUCAGAAAAAGAAAAAAUGGGGAUUGGAUUGAUGAUAAAAUAGAAUCUUGGGUCGCGAACAGUGAUUUGAUUGAGGAUGAAGAAAGAGAAUUCUUAGUUCAGUUCUCCACCUUAACGUCAGAAAAUAGGAUUGAUCAAAUUCUAUUGAGUCUGAAUCAUAGUAAUCAUUUAUCAAAGAAUGACUCUGGCUAUCAAAUGAUUGAACAAUUGGGAGCAAUUUACUUAUGAUACUUAGUUGACUUUCAUAAAAAGCAUCUAAUGAAUUCUGAGUUCAAUCCAUCAUGUUUAGCAGAAAGAUGUAUAUUCCUUGCUCAUUAUCAGACAAUCAUUUAUUCACAAUUAUCGUGUGGGGAAAAUCAUUUUCAUGGAAAACCCUUUUCUCUUCGCUUUGCUUUUUCAAGCUAUGAAUGUAGAGAUCAGGUUGAAGAUUGAAAGGGACGAAGUGGUAUGAAGUUUCUUGAACCUAGCGCUCUGGAGGUUGUGCUCGACCGAAAGGGUAAGGGCAAGAAUACUUGGCUGGACGUAGUUCAGGAUCGAUGUAAUUGAGACAACUAAGUAGAGGAUGGGAUGAUGUGAGGCCGGCCAAAGGUGGUUCUAUAUAGCUCUUACGCUUUUACUGCUCGUACUAUUUUAUUUGAAAGUGAAAUCCUUUUUUUUGGCAUCAUCCGGGAGUAUCAGUCCCGGUUAGAAAGUCUUCCAACUUUCCAAUUAGGAUUUUCCGAGCACACAAAUUUUUUUCAUUUGAAUAAUAAGGAUAAUUUGGUUGUUUGAUUAAUUCUAAGGAUGUCGAAUGGAGCACUAACAAGGGUUGUGUUUGAAGAUCUAUUGUGUUGUAGCUGUUAAAGGCUACUUCACUAUUGGUCAAGAACUAAUAUCUUGUUAUAAUCUCUAGUUCUAUCCCGACAUAGGUUAUCCUUCCCAGAAGCUUCAGCUAAUGGAAAAGAUAAUCUUUAAAGGAAUAGAACCCCUUGUUGGAACUCAGGCACCCCCUCCCUCGUCCCCCGAGACCAAUUUGUUUGGUCCGACAGGGAGAGUGGAAAGCCUUAGUGGGAUCAUCGAAACACACAAACGAAUUGCCCUUGCGGGAUGGGAUUAUGGGGUUGAUCCUUAUUUUGAGAUUUUUUAGUUUUCGUUCAAAGGGAAAAUACCUGUUUAUUAAUCAAUUUAUUUUGAUUCUUAUUUUAUUUAGUAUCUCUUUAUUUAUAAUUUUUUCUAAGGAACUAUUUGCUAUCCUUAGGGAUUUUGUGUUCUCAGCUUCUCUUUGGGAUUUUGGUUUUUAGUGUCGGGGGAUCACUUCCUCUUUAGGGCCCUUUCGGGCAAGCAAGCGGGGCUGAGUUUGAAGAGGAUCAUUUUGGUAUUGAUGUCCUCUUUGAAUCAUGGAAAAAAUCUACGGAAACGGGCACGUCGAUGGAUCAGCCAGAUCCAGAACAAGGACAUGUGCCGCCUACUAUUCAAGUAGCUCCUCGGAGGAACGAAUUUGGUCCAUCGAAUCAGCCCCCACGAGUGGUCCCCUAUCCGUAUCAACUGGAUGAAGUGAUAGGGGGGAUUCCGUUCAGUAUAACCAGCAGAGGCUCCUAGACAAAUACUUCUAUUCGAGGCGGGCCCUUGAGACCUGGCUGAAAUAGAGGAAAAAGACCUAUUCGAGGUCAAGGUCAAGAUUCUAAGGAUCAUGGAGGUCCUUGAUCCAACUGGGGAUUGGCUGGGACGGAGAGCUUGGGCCCUACAGAAUAUGUGUACCGCCACGAGAGAGCAUUCCUUGGAUGAACUCCAUACCCUUCUUUUGGAUCUCGAAUAAAGGGGAGUCAAUUCCGAGUCCUUCUCUCAAUUAAAAGGGAAGCUACCCCUGCGAAGGGGUUGGGAUGAACACUCUACCAUAUAGUGGAGUGGAUAGCUAGGACUACAAAAAUGGAGAUUGUGUCCAACAACAAUCCUAUAGAACGGGGGCAAGCAGUCUUUAAAAGUCUAAACUAAGAAAGGCUUACGAACCACUUAGGAAGGAUAAGAGCCGUAGCUACAAAGCAAAAGAAUUUGUCGGAGCCGAUGCAACGAUACUCACCUCAGCCUCUCUGGCAGCAUUAGUUACCAGAUUCAUUCAGUGAUAGCCUUAGGUUAAAGAAGUCCUUUAUUUUCAUUUAAGAAAUAGGCAGCCACUCUCUCUCUUACUUUCUUUCAUUUAGUUAGGCGUUGUAAAGGAUCUCGCUUGAAAGAGAAUCUUCACCUACUCAAUUGGAAUGACUCUUACCCUUACUUAUCUCUUUACUCAGAGAAUUCCCUCUCGUAGCUAUUCCCCGGCGCUGUGUCUUCUUUAUCCUUACUCUGGGAAUGAAGUCGUAAGCCGAACAGAAUACAUACUUGCUUGCUCUAUUUGAUUCAGGACCUCUUGUUGUUGUGUCUCUUUCGGAUUUGGUUGCUAAUAAAAGAAAAAUAUUGUUGGCCUGGCUAUUCUGAUUAAGAAUACGGAAGAGGCUAUGAAAUAGAAGAAAGAAGGUGAGUUUGAACUCUAACUCAAGAGCCCUUACUCAAGAGGGCUUCUCUUUAUCUUAUUGUAAGAAGUCAAAUGGUUAAGUCCAGUUGGGGCAACUGGGCCAGACGACAUUGAUAGCGGAGUUUCCGUGGUAAGGUACAAAGCUUUUUGUCCGGGUCUUGGGUAGACGUACUCAACUGGUACAAAUAGAAAGGCUCGUCCAGUGAGUGAUGACACUAGCGAGUAAACUGUAAAAGGGUCUUGCUUGGUAUAAUAUAAGCGGAUGACUUAGUUAUAAUUAGCUCAGAUGUGACUUCUUUGCUCGGUUUCGGUUGCUUGACUCAAUAAUGGCCCUUCAAAGUCAUUGACUCAUAUUUAGGGAACGGUUGAACUCCUUUUUUUCUUUUUCAAGUUGUUGACAAUCAUGUUCUUAUAUUUCUUUACUUUUCCGUACUAAAUUCCUUUGUUCACCAAUAAACUGAAGAACCAAUUAGUUGUAGCAGCACUUGCGACUGAAAAAGUAGCCCCGAAAAACAUUAAAAAGAAGAUGUCUAGGGCUGGUUCCUGAAAGGGAUCGAAGAGAAUGUAGCUUCAAGAAUUAGGCAAGGCCAGCCCUAAGUCUAAGUUGAAGUUACAGGGCUGGGAGGUAUGAGUUGAUUGGAUGCAGGGAAGCCCGGGCAAUCCUUUCCUAUCAAUCAUUUGUCAGGAACAAGAAAGGGUACUUUGACAAGAAAGGCUAUGUCCUACCGAUUCUCCGAAGAACAUACCAACACUAGUGCCAAAAAAAAGAAGGGGGGGGAAUAGGGAAAGUACCCCAUGAGAAAAGCCAGCAAUUUUUUAGGAGUCAGAUAGGGUUGGAACUCUAUACAAGGGGCUGCUUGCUGCUCGCCCCUAUCUCUAAAGUGGCUUAUGCAAUCCACUUGUUACCACUAAACAACGAAGCCAGGAGCGAAAGGAGGAACUUGAACCCUCAACCAUAGCCUUGGCAAGGCUAUGCUCUACCAUUAACCUGUUUCCGCUAGCUAGGGUAGUGGCGAAGCACUACUGAGCAAUUCACGUAUUAAUUGAUACGGACGACUUCUAUAUUUCCGCCGGACCACAAUCUUGACCUCCGGCUACGAACACGAGUAGAUAGGCGGUUAGGGGGGAGAGGGUCGGCUGGGCCUGCCUUUUCAAUCAAUCUUUGGCCACUUAGUGCCGCGAUUGGUGCGAGUUGUAAGGAGUCUUUGUCUCGAGUAAAGCUGGGGCAUCAAUUCAUUCUUGUAACGGGAAUGAGUGCACCGCAAGGCAAGACAGGUUGCUUCCUCGCCUCGCAGCGGCGACAUUUGUCUUUUAAUUGAAGUCAUUUCCUAAGACAGCUUCUCUUAUUCUACGAUAAUCCAAGCUGCAGCAGCACCUCAUGAACUUCUUACUAGGGCAGUACUUUAAUAGGCAUCUGCGAGUGUUUGGAUGCACGUGUUUUAGUCAUAUUCCUGCGUAGUUAAGAGAAAAAUUGCCCCAAGGCAACCACUUGUGUCUUUAUUGAAUAUGCUCGGUCCGGGUAUAUAUAUGCUAUGACGUAAAAUCCAAGAGAGUCGAUGUAUCCUUAUUGCUCUCUUUAAUAGGGUCGGCUCAUAUUUUCCUUAACCUAAUUAAUCUGCCCUGGGGGUGAAUGAUGAUGUAUCUGUAUUGCGGCCUUCUGCUGUUCAUCAACUCGAACAUCAUUCUUCUGUAGUUGAUGUUACAGAUUAGCCGCACUCUUCAGGCCAGCAGCUUUGCUCAGCAUUUUCUGCCGACUGUCAGCCUGUUCAGCUGACCUCAGAGGGUUCCUGUCACCUAGCACAACAUGUUUAUUAUCGGCGGCGAUUACAGCCUCUCUCUCAGGAUGAGGCUACUCCAGAAGAUCAGCAGGAAGCCUGAAAUCAUUCUUGCUGGAGAGAUGCAAUAUAGGAAGAAAUCAAUGACCAGGAAAAAAAUAAUAAGACUUAGUGGCCUGCAUGGAAAGAAGCCAUUUUCUGCAAGUGGAUUUACAAGAUCAAGCAUAGGGCAGAUGGUUCUAUAGAUAGAUACAGGUCUAGAUUAGUAGCUAAAGGAUUCCUUCAAGAAUAUUGAGUCGAACCCCUUUCCUUACAGUCAAGUGGCCCAAGGGCCCCUUUUAGAGAUAAGGAAACAUUUGCUUCAGGUUGCUAAACACCAUUCGUGGCAAUCUUGCCUUGGCUACAAUCAAAUUGUGGCCUUUUUUCAAUUUGACGUGCAUAAUAGAAUGCCUUUCAACAACAUAGGGAAGGGGGAAAGAAUAAGUUUCUAUUCAGCCUCCUCCAACUCCAGGCUUCCCUUCUCCUAGGAAUCCUAACUUGGUAUGCAAGCUCAAGAAAGUGAUUUAUGUUACGGCCUCCGACAAGUUAAAGUAGGCACAAGAGCUUGGUUUGGAAGGUGACAGCAACAUGUAUAAGAGCCGAAAAAAGGAGUAGGGAAGGAGCUGGUUUUCAAAUAAGUAAAUCGGAUCAUUCAAUGUUUAUAAGGAGGUCAACAUCAGAUAUUGUCGCUCUUCUGCUUGGAUGACAUUGCUUUCUCUAGUAAUGACUUAGCUUCAAUAAAUGAGCUUAAGAGAAGAUUAAGAACCCGGUUUGAUAUGAAAGAUUUAGGAGACUCAACAAAGUCUUUUCUGGAGAUUAAAGUGAUGAGGUCGCAAAGAGUUUUGGAACCCAGUGCAAGUAUUCAUUGGAUUUAUUGUCAAAAGCUGGUCUUUUUGCAUGCAAAUCGGAAUAAGAUAUAAAAUUAGCCUCAGAUGCAAGAGAGCUAUUGGAUGACCCAUCUACUUGCAAGGAGACUUGUUAGGACUCUUUUCUACCUGACCAACUAUCGCACAGAUAUUGCUUACACUUACAACAUAGGAGGGAGUGAUCAGUCGAUUUUAAUAUGGACAAGCCAAGAUUAUCUCACUUAGAAGCUGCUUUUCGGAUUUUGCGAUACAUCAAAACCUCACUGGGAAGAGGUUGAUUCUUGUCUACGUCAUCCUCUCUUCAGCUGUCUUGUUACUAUUAUAUUGCUUUCAUUAAGGCAGUAGAUUAUUCUGAUUGGUUUUGGAACAUCAUCCCCAUGCCUAAGAGGGAUGUACGUGUUUGCGUAUGCAUCUAUUUUUCUCAAUAAAGCAUGUUCCCAAAGAUGAUUUUAUGCUGCCGAACAUUGAUUUGCUUGUGGACAAGACUAUUGUUAAAGUAUACCUACUACUCUUUUCUGACGAUUCGAAAUUCUCGUCGUCGGCUUCCUCUCCCUGUAGGUCGAGAUGAAUUACAUCCACCCUUGAGGUAGAGUUUGUUUUGUAAUAGGAGCCUCGUUGGGCCUUUACGGAGCUUGGCCUGCUUUCGCAUUAACUCUCCAUUUGGUGAUUUGGUUCGUAGCAGCCCAAGUAUAUCCAGGAGUUCCUUUUACACGCUACGCUAUCCUCGGCGAUUAUAUCUUCAUCGGAGAUGAGCGGGUGGCUGAGUGUUAUCACGAGCUAAUUCCUCCACUGAAUAUUCCAUUUUCGUUAGAGAAAUCGUUAGUAUCGUCAGUUGUUGCUUUGGAGAUUUCUAAGCGGUUCUUCAUACGCGGAGUGACUGAGGACUUAUUUCCUGUCUCCUGUCACAUGUUAAGAUCCUUAGUUAGUUCCAUAUCCCUUGUUCCUGUAAUGAAGGCUAUUAUGUCUAAGAAUCUUCCAUUGUCGUAUCGUUUACGGGAAGAUGGUUACCGGGUGUAUACUCGACGCAUGGCGCCUCCUAGGAGACACUGGAAUCGGCAUUUUCUCGUCUUUCACUCAACGAACGGUGUGUGUCCUCUCCCCUUUUGCAUCUGGUUAAGUGCAACCACUGGUAAACACUUAACCUCUUAUAAACAAGGUAUGGUGAGGGGACCUGAUUAGGCUCUUUACCCCUCGAUUCCUGAGAAACUCAGUGAUCUCAAAGUUUUUCGAAGCCUAGUCAGAGUACGACUGGUUAGGGGCAUAGGUUUUAUCAAAAUGUUAGAAGUCCUUUCUCUCUUACUGGUCUUGGUAUUACACUAUUGCAGAUGAAAGUAAUGUAACUCGCGCAUUACACUACCAAUCCUUGGGAAAGGGGCCUCCUCUGUCCCUCUCCAUAGUUAUAAUCGAAUUGAUUUAAUGUAGGCGAAGGUUAUUGGUCUGAUUUAUUUCUUUCUAGGCAAAAACCAAUCAGAAUGAAUCUUUGGAAAGGGAUGUUGUGGAUACUCAGUAAGCUUUCCAUGAGGUAGUGAUGCCAAAAGUUCCUCGAUGAGGUUAUCUAAAGAAGGUACUUCUUAUUAUCACUGAGAGUCUAACCAAGGAACUAUGUAUUGGAGCUAACCUAUUAUCCAAGACUGUUAUUAGGAUAGUACGGAAUCCAGGGUGGUGGACUGCACUACGCUUUAUAUCUAAAGCAGUGCGCUUCUUCCCCUCAGAAAGGAUCGGUUAAGCUCUUCUUAUCUUUCCCAACUCGAAAUCCAGCCAAGCCACUAUUCAAAAAGACUUAGUUAAAGCAAGGAGGCACAGGAAGAAAAAUAAUACCAGUCAUUAGUUCCGGCUAUCGCUGGAACUAUUCAAAAAUUCUAUGUAGAAACCUAGGAUUCUACAUAGCCUUUAAGUUAAUAGUGGAAGAAAGGCUUGCCUAGAUUUUGUAUUCCAUCUGCAUUAGACGCUUUCUUUCUUUAUACUACGCAAGCAAGCCGGGGAGUGAGAAAAGCAGAAGUGGGACAGGAAUAAACCAAUAGCAAGAAAAAGGGUACCAAGCAUUUCGGGCAUUCCUCUUAUUAAAGGAAUCGGUGAGUGAAGACAAUAUUGGAUCUUUAAAAGCUGAAUUCUUUUUCUUUAUCAAGAGUGAGAGAUCUGUCUAAGAACAAUAGAAGAGGGAUAUACCAUUAAAUCGGAUCUUAGAGAAGUCUCGGUCUUUGUCCACACCUAGGACAUUGAUUCAAUGUGCCCCAAUGGAUCGUGACAAGUCCUUACUACUAGCACUAACUUUCUCUUUGAUUACUUUACUUCGCUUAGUUUCCUACUUUUGAUUGGAGCCGCCUCGAACUCCCCGACAGCCCUAAGAGGAAGGAGUUGUCCAUGGGAUGGACAACAAAGUGUAUCGAUCCUCCCCAUCCUCUUCUCUUGAGCCUAUUUUUCCUAAAAGUCUUGAUUGGUAUCGUCUUAUUAAAGUGUUGAGGGUUACAACACACUCUAUCCUAGUCCAAUUACGCUCAAAAAAAUCUAUCUAUUGCUAUGUUUAGUCUUAUCAAAGUCUUAUUAACUCAACUUUCUUUCUGGAUUCUCCCGGUUUUGAAUUCUAUCUUUCUGAUUUGGGUUUGCGGUUUCUAUAAUAUUCUAGAAAUCGUCUAUUACUAUUUCAUUAUUAUAAACCACUAUACUCCUUCCGCAUCUUUUCCUCGAAAUGAGAAAGAAGAUGGUAUACUUGAAUUGUAUUAUUUAAGUGCUUAUUUCUUGCCAAAAAUCCUAUUUCUACAAUUGGUAGGUCACCAGGUUAUUCAAAUAAGUCGUGUUUUCCGUGGUUUUUUCAUGUUACAACUUCUAUACCAAUUCAGUCGAUCCAGAAUGGAUCUGUUAAACAUUCCAUUAGGUAGCCUGGUCUUGGCUAUUCUAUGUGGUAUUCAUUCUCAUUCGGCUCUUGGAAUCACAUCCAGUAGUGGCUGGAACAGCUCGCAAAAUCCAACCCCUUCACCUACUUCAUUGCCUCUAACCGUUUCUCGUACCUCUAUUGAAAUAGAAUGGUUUCAUGUUCUUUCAUCAAUUGGUUAUUCCUCUCCAUUCAUAUCUCUUUUUCCAAUUUCGGUCUCGAUUAAUUCACAAUAUUGAAUGGCCAAUUCUCCUUCGAACCCUCGGUUCAUUCUAUGGCGCGAAAUCCAUCAUUGGAAAAAUAAUUAUUUGGUUAUGCCAUUUUGGGCUUUGCUCUAACCGAAGCUAUUGCAUCGUUUGCCCCAAUGAUGGCCUUUUUGAUCUCAUUCGUAUUCCAAGUUCUUUAGUAAUCAUUUACGGUGGGUGGAUAAGCAGGAAGGGAUCCCUGUGGUUAGACUAACUGGACGAGAAGGCUAGUGAGGUUCCUGCUAAGGUGAAGUGAAAGAUCUUUCACUAUAGUGGGAAAAAGACAGGUGGGAGCGAGCCGAGCAAGAGUAAAGAAAGUUCGUGGGCUAUAUUCGCAGCCCAUUCAUCGGCUUUUUCUAGGCAAGAGUCGCUUGAAUCGAAGUCAAGGUGAGGUUUGGAACCCACAAUUGGUCUAUCCCUUUUCUUUGAUAGGCGUAUAAAGUAGUUGUUGAGCUUGUUCUUACUGAGUUACUUACAGAGGGGUCGUCGAGAGAGAUUUGCAUGUGUUAGCUAGCCUUAUAUCUUUCUCAAUGUCCGUACAUCUAUCCAAUGCCUUCCUGCUUUCCAGCCUUUCACUUCCCGCUUGAGGAACAAUCUCUGGAUUUUCAGUAGCUUUGUUUUAUUUUAAGUCAUUUUUUACAGGACGAGCUUGAAGCCUGAAUUUAAUUCGAUUCUAUCCUGCUCGAUAAUUAAGGUAGUUUUUUCCUGCUCUGAAGAGAGACCUUGAGGGGGAACAACUUACCUAAGCAACUUGUGGUCUGAUUGCGCCAUCAGCGAAACCAUCUUUUUUUAUGUGCUAGACAAGAAAGAGAAAGGGGGAAAAGUAAGGCUUCAAGUAAAGGCUCCUAACUCAUUUAAACUUCCUGUCGGGGUAACUAAAAUGAAAUUCAUGACCGAGUUACGAGAGCUAUAACCUGGGUCUAUGCCCCUUUCACCCCCUAGCACCGAAACUACUUAAGUUGGUUGUCCCAACUCAAAAGCGAAAAUCAGAUUUGGAAUCGGAGGUAUUUCACGGGAUAGCCUUUCUGAGAAGCUCUUUUUAGUGAAAUCGGUCUGAUUUUGACCAAACUAUUCCCACCUAAACAUAAAGAGCUUAGAUAGUCUCACUGUGAAAUAUUCGCAUCCAAGUCGUUAUUCUUUAAUUAGAAGAGGCCUAGAGAGAUAGUUCUGUCACGUCUCUAUGUCGACCAAGGUUAUUUUUCUAAUAGAAAGCGUUCUCCUGCAGCCGUUGAAGUUUGUAUAUCAAAAACGGACGAUCUCUUCCUCAUAUUCAUAUGUGUGUUUGGUGAUUUGUGUCUUGGGUCGUCGAUUUCUCAAAGGAGACUUUGAAUGUGGGCUCUAGAGGUGCCUGUGUUACUAGGGUGUCUCCCAUGUGUUUCUCUUUAGUAAGAUUUCGCACGGACGACUUGAUUCCUUAUUUAGAUUCCAAACUGUUAUUAAGAGGUUGUAUGUUUCCUUUUCUUGAGGUUGUAAGGGGAGUCGUUCCCUUUUAUUUUGAACUUCGUGAGUAAGUAAGUCAUGGCGCACUCCUUCCCCACCGAGAGAUCAAAAUCUUCUUAGCCGUUUUGAACUCUGAGUGCUUUCCAAGGUUAGGGUUGGUGGGGCGUUACACCCGAAUUAAUGGAAUUCAUUUAAUGCGUAGACAGAUUGGGGUCGAAAUUGGUAUGGUACCUAGAAAUAUCAUAGGAGAAGAAAGCACGAACCAAUUGGUGAUCAAUAAUGGCCUCGAUCAUCUUCUCCAACGAUGGCGGAGUAACAAAUAUUUGAGCUCUGCCGGACUUCCCCCUUCCUUGUCUUCCACGUCUUCAAAAUAUGGUUUCAAUUGGCUAGCGUGUAGGACUGGAUGUAUCUUAAAGUGAUGGGACAUAUCAACUCGAUACGAGAUCUUACUAGCCUUGGCAAUAAUCUUGAAAGAACCCUCGUAGCGGCGAAUGAAAAUUUAACUGACACUUCGCACUGACUUGAAUUGCCUAGGAUUGCGUUUCACCAUUACUCGAUCCCCAAUUCGAUAGUCGAUUGGCUGCCGAUUCUGGUCAGCAAACUUCUUUAUUUUCUGGGCUACUUUAUCAAGAUAUGAUCGCUCAAGAUCAACUUUUACCUCCCAGGAUUCAGCCAAUUGAUAUGCACCCGGACUCUUCAAACCGGUAUCGACGGGAAAGGAUUGUGGCGUGUUGGGCUGCUGCCCAGUAGCCAACUCAAAUGGACUCUGCCCCGUAGCCUCAGUUCACUGUAAAUUAUAUGAGAAUUAGGCAGUGUCGAGUAACUUUGCCCAAUCCUUUUGAUUGGCACUAACAUAGUGCCUCAAAUAGCACUCCAAGAUUGCGUUGAUCCGCUCAGUUUGCCCAACCAUUUAAGGAUGAAAUAUGGUUGAGAAGUGAAAUUCCGAACCAAGCAAACUGAAUAACUCUCUCCAAAACGCACCAGUGAAUCGAGGAUCUUGAUCACUAAUAAUGUGCUUGGGUAUACCCCAAUACUUCACGACAUCUUGCAAGAGUAUACGUGCUGCCUCUUUGGAUUUGCAGCUGGCCGUCGCGGCAGUGAAGGUCGCGUAUUUGGGGAAGCGAUAAACAACAACCAUAAUAGUCCCGAACUCCUCCGAGUUUGGCAAGCAAGUGAUGAAAUCCAUGGUGAUGUUGUCCAAUGGUUUUUCAGCAAUAGGCAGUAGCUCAAGCAGUCCACGCGAUUCCUUCGUCUCAACCUUGUCUUGUUGACAAACAAGACAUGUACGCACAUACACCUCGAUGUCGUCUCGAAUUUGAGGCCAGUAAUAAGAAGACCCUAGCAAUCCCAAAAUCCUUUUCUGCCUGGGAUGGCCAGCCUAUGCAGUAUCGUGGCCCUCAUUGAUUAAUGUAUGCAGAAGGUUAUCCCACUUCGGGACGUACACAUAUCUUCCCGUAGUGUACAUCAGACCGUUCUCCUCCCAGAACUUCUUCAUCUUGCCUUUUUGGGGAAAAACAAGAAGCUGCUUUGCCACGGGAUCGUGCUGCAUGCCUUCCUUAAUAUCUUCAAUAAUACUGCUGCAAGUUGAACUAACAAUUGCAGCCAAGGCAGCCUUGCGACUCAGCGCAUCGGCUACAACAUUGGCCUUCCCGGGCUUGUAUUCAAAUGUGAAAUCAAAUGUAGCCAAGAAGUCUUGCCAACAUGCGUGCUUGGCAGUCAACUUAUUUUGCGACUGAAAAUAAGUUGUCAUGAUGUUAUCUUUCUUGACAACAAAGUGAGCAUCCAUUACGUAAUGACGCCAAGUCCUUAGGCAGUAGACUACGACCGUCAUUUCCCUCUCGUGAGCAGAACAACGCCUCUCUUCAUCAUUUAGUUUCCUGCUCUCAAAUGCUAUCGGGUGGCCCUCUUGCAAAAGGACACCACCAAUAGAAAAAUCGGAAGUGUCAGUAUGAAUUUCAUAAGCCUUAAUAAAAUCGGGCAGUGCCAAGACCGGCUCCUCAGUAAUGGCUGCCUUAAGAUUUUCCAAGGCAUUUUGACAUGAAUCAGUCCACUUCAACUCAUGAUUAUUUUUUAACAAAUCAGUGAGUGGAGCAGCAAUAGCCUAAUAGAUAAGUAAGAAUUGCAAUAAUUGGCAAGGCCAAGGAAGGAUCGUAACUCUGAUACCUUCGUUGGAGCCUUCCAAUCUCGAAUUGCCUCCAUCUUAUCCCUGUCCAUCCUUAUUUCACCAUGAGUGAUACUGUGCCCAAGGAACUAGACACUGGGUUGUGCAAAGCUGCAUUUCUCCUGCUUCAUGCACAAAACAUUAUCACGCAUGACCUUGAACACUUUGCCCAAGUGCUCAAAAUACUCCUCCAUGCUACUGCUAUUGAUGACAAUAUCGUCCAAAUAAAUCACCACAAACUGAUCAAAAUAAGGGUGGAACAACUUAUUCAUAAACGUGUAAAAUGUUGCUGGAGCGUUUGUCAAACCAAAAGGCUGGACCAGCCACUCAAAAGUUCCUUACCAAGUGAUGCAAGUCACCUUUGGCUAAUCACCUUUGGCAAUCUAAACUUGAUAAUAACCCUUCCUCAAAUCUAUCUUGGUGAACACUUUGGCCUGCCCCAAAUGAUCAAACAACUCAACAAUUAAAGGAAUGGGAUAUUUGUUCUUUACCGUGACAUUGUUAAGGGCCCGAUAAUCAACGCACAAUCGUUGUGUCCUUUCCUUCUUCUUUUGGAACAAAAUAGGCGCUCCAAAUGGCACCUUCAAAUGCCUAAUAUGUCCCACAUCAAGAAGCUCCUUGAGUUGCUCUCUUAGUUCCUCCAACUCCGGGACCGCCAUGCGAUAAGGUGUCGUGGCAGGUGGCUUUGCCCUGGGAACCAACUAAAUUUGGUGAUCAACUUCCCUUCGAGGUGGAAAUUGUUAGGGAAGUUUUCCGUCAUCACGUCCCUGUUAUCAAAAAGGACCUUCUCAAUACAACAAGUCAAAGAUAUUGCCGCAGUUGAGCUUUUGACGCCUCCGACAAGGGUAGCAAGAAAGGUUGGCGCCCCCUCUUAAAGUCCUUCACAAUCAGCAUGGGUGGACAAGUGCAUACCACGCAAGAACCUCUUGCAUCGUUGAUGCGCAGUUGGUUAAUAAACGGUGAAAUGAACACGUUAAUCUCAUACCAAAAAUCCAGCCUCAUAAUGAUGUAAAAAACAUCCAUGGGCGCAAUAGUGAAAUUCGUUAACCCCUUCCAUCCUCCUAAAUCAAUGAGGACUUUAGGAGCGAAGCCAUGGACAAUAGUGGGGUGGGCGUUGACGGUUUUCAACAUCAUGUUGCUAGCAACAUAAUUCAAACCAAGGUCCUUAGACAGUUUAUUUGUUACAAAGUUAUGUGUUGCACCAGUAUCCACCAUAAUUCGAACACCUUUGCCAUUCAACUUGGCAUUGAUAAACAAUGACUCGUGCAGUCUCACACCAAACGGCUGGGCAUCUAAUGCGACAAGAGUCAUGUGAUUGAAAAGUCUGACAUAUACAUUCUUUCCCUUAUACGCUGCACCAAUCCGUCUACCUUGCUCUCGGGAUAUCUUUCUGGUUUGCAUUGCUGCCUUCUCUUGCUGCUUUUGAGCAGCAACCAUGUUAUUCAAUUUACCUAAUGACGGACGGUUACGUGCAAGAUGAAUAGUCUCACUACAAAUAUAACAACCCUCAUGAUGUGGAACACCUUUCUUGCGCUCUUUGUAAUUUUUGCAAAAAUUAGAAGGCUGGUUAGGAUUAUUACCUCUCCUAUUGCUGCCUCGGUUUGGAACAGGCUUGGAUUUGUUUCGGUUGUUAUCCACUUUGGGAGUAACAAUGUUUAUCCCAUUGUCCCUCCCCUUUGCUGAAUCUGCCCGAAAAUCAGAAAGCAAUUCAACCACUACGAUUGCUUCAUCAACGUCAUUGACUUGUCACCUUUGAAGUUCUUGUCUGGACCAAUUUUGGGGACCAUCCAAGAAGUAAAAUAACAAGUCCUAGAUGGUCAAACUCAGAAUUUGGAGAGUGAGUAUUGUUAACUCCUUCACUUAUUCACGAAUGGAAGAUGUCUGCUUCAAUUCUCUCAACCUCCGAUGAGGCUCAUGGUCUACGUUUUAAGGAUAGAAUUGUCCCUUUAAUUUUCCCUUGAACUUCCCCCAAUCAUCAUGGGGUAUACCCCUCUCUCCAUGUCCGCCGUUUUCCUCCACCACCACAACAUAGUGGUGUCCCUCAAAUACAUAGCCUCUGUCUGAAUCUUGGUAGCAUCGCUAUUCAUGUUCACAUGAUCGAAAUAAUUAUCCAUUUGCCACAAGAAAUUAUAAACGUCUUGGGCAGUCCUUUCACGACGAAACUCCUUAAAAAGUUUCAAUCUGUGUCUCACGGACAGUAACAUCAACUCCGACCGGAACUACUUUACUUCCACUUAUGGUUUAUAAUGCUAGUUGUGCUUAGAUGUAAAUGUUCUAGGUGAUACAACCACAUAGAAAUAAUGUACAUUACAAAAAGAAGAACACAUGACACCCUUUUCAUCCGAAAUUUUGUAUUCUAGUUUAAGUCUGUCAUACUCUUCAAUUAUUUCUAUGAACAUGUGGAUAUGCUCUUGCAAAUGAGUUUUCCUCUCAAUAGAGUGGACAUUACAUUGCAACAUGAAAGUAUGCAGGUUUGGUUAGAGUCAUAUCUCGCAAUAACUUUCAGUCAGCCUAGUUUUUUAGUGGCUCAACUUUGUUCGAAAGAUGUUAUAAGUUACUGUAUAAUUUCUGAAUUUGUCCCGUAUUUCCCUGCGGUUUUUAGUAUUAAUGCUAAAAUACUAUUAUUUGUAGUUUGGUUAGACUAAUAUUUUCUACUACUUACCUUUAUAGGCAUUUUCUAUUUUUAUUUAUUUGAUAACUAUAUUCCUAUUUUAUCAUAGGAAAACUUAAAAACGGUAUCCUUCUUAUCAUGGACCCCUGAGUUUGUUCCGUUUUUGAAGAAAAUAUUCACUUGAAAUUUAUGUCUUUACGGGAUUAAAACAUAUCCUGUCUAUGCUCUUGGAAGAAGUGCUAUCGGCUGAAUUAAGUGAUUAAGAUGUAAAAAACAUAAUUCAUCUAUUUUUUGCGUCAACUAGGAAGGCAACUUAGGAGAAGAUUGUUCCUGCUAGUGAUAAUAAAAAGAAAUAUUACACCAAAGCACAAAAGGUGAAGCUCUUUAGUUCUUGUUGUUGAUACUCUUUGAGACUAAAUGUUAUAUUUUAUUUUAAAACAUCAUCUUUUGCACCUGAUAACGGAUUCCAGGAAAGUACUUGUCAAAUAAUAAGUUGGUCAUGUUUCUGCAACCUGGUAGAUCUGUACUGUUUUAGUAGUGUGUUUGUGCUGCAAUUUUUCUUGAACUAUAUAUUUGUCUUAAAUCGGGUCAGCUAGUCACAUACAUCUAGAUUAUUGACUAGUAUUAUUUAGUGGAAGAGGUACCAUUUUUUGUAUAUUUUCAUGUAUCAUCUUUAAUUUUUUUCUAACAACUUUAAGACAUUUUAUUAUAGUUGGAGUUUGUUAACAGAUUGAGCAGUCAGAUUAUUCAUGCACCAUGGAACAUAGACGGUAAAUGUGUAUGUUAUAACCCAACAAGAAUGUCCAGGAUUUGUCUUCUUAUUAAUGUUAGCCUAGCCACAUUAUCUAGAGAAUUCCAAAUCCAAUCACCUUUGAACUGACUCAUUACCCUGUACAUGGCUCUAUAACAAACCGUUCUCCCUACAUAUAGACCCUACUGAUCCCGAAUCUCCCAAAGUUUAAUGUUAGGUUUAGAUACAAUCUUAUCUUAAAAUUUAUGUCCAAUGUACAGAAGUGCAUAACUUGUUCUUGUUCUUAGUUGGGCAGCGAGGAAACAGGGUGAUACUUCUUCACAAUAAAGUCACACGAAUUCCAUUAGUGUUUGCAUAUAUGUCCCAUUUGCCUAGUAUUUUUCUUUUACAUUUAACUUCCAAUUUGGUGCAUCUGAUUAGGCUUAAGUUCGAGUUGCACUUUGUUGUCUUUCACAGCUAAGGGUGAGUUUUCCUAUUUUACAAUUUUCUCCUCUAGUUUCAGGACCACCAUACACUAACUCCUCUUCCUUUCUUUGUUUAUCCAUAAGAAGCUGCCGAAAAACCAAUGAAAAUCAAUCAUCCAUUUUAAAACUCUUUAAACAAAAUCUAGAGAUUUUUGCUGUAAAGUUUGAACAAACUUUCCUCAUCUAUGUUGUCUGUUUCUUGGAGUUACCUCUGGAUCAACAAACAGUAGAAGAUUAAGGACAUUUUUUGUCGAAACUUUAUGUAUUAUAUUAAGUUUAUGCAGAUCAGAUCCACGUGUUCUUCAUUAAGAGGGGAAACUAACAUAGAUAUAGGGGUUAUUAGAUUUCAAUACUUGAAAAUGUUUACAUUUUCUUGUAAAUUUUUGAUGUAGGGAGAACAUGAAAAAGUUCAUUUUAGUAGAGUUCCUGCUUAUUUGCGGGGAUUUAUAGGGUCUUCUCAGAUAUGCCAAUGAUUUAGCUCUCAAGCCAAGGUAUUUACCCCAAAUGAGAAAAGGUUAUCCCUGAAAUGAGGCAAAACAGUGAGUGGGAUUUUCUAUAAAGGGUGGUUACCCCUCUCUGUUGCGCCACUGAUUUUCCUCUAUUAUAAAAAACCAACAUCCCUUGUUUAAGAAAAGCAAACACUUUGAAAACAAAAACGGAUUUAACAUGUAUACUUGUGAGAUCUAUGUGUUUAUUUUGUGUGUUCUUUUACGUUGUUGACUGUUAUGAAAUGUACAUAAAGAAAUUGUGGUGGUGAUUUUUCUAUUUCUGGGCUAAUCAAUUUGGGCAUUGAGAUUAUCCAAUACAUAUCUUGGUGUGACAACCCGAUAUGGCUUGUUAUUGUUGCUUCUGUCUCUUGCAUGCAAUUGGUGUGUGCAGCCAUGGCGUGAUGACUUCUGUUUUUCCUUAUCAUAGCAUACAUCUUAUCCUCAUUUUCUUAAAAAGAAAGAGAGUGAAAGAAUGUGUAUUUGUCCACCCAUAAUCUUCCUGCAUACUUAUCUCUUUUGUUUAGCAUGUUAAUGGUGAUUUGAGUCUGCUCCAGCCUCUCUUAGAUCAGUAUCUUAAACAUAUAUAUGCAAUAAAAGAAGUUGUUGUAUGUGCCCUUAAUAAAUUGAAGGUGACUGUGUUUUAUAGAUGCAUUAUUGUUAAAUGUGCAAUUCUUUUUGUUGCAGGAUGGUGAUGUUGAAUAUUCACUACUUGUAAACUUGAAAAGGUUGGAUGAUGAUCCUUAAUUGUCAAGGAAGAUUUUCAUUGAACUCUUGCAAAAACUGCCCCCAUGUUAAGCUUAGCUCUAGUGGAAAAAGUUGGCAGAUUAUGGUUUAGGUCACAUGUUCAAGCUCCACACCAUGCAAAGUGAAGCCCAUUAUUUAAGUGGAGAAGGGUAGAGAGGCGAGACCAUUAUCCACCGAGUUUAGAAGGCUAUGAUUGGUCCAAAUUGUAGGUCAUAGAAAUAUUUCUCUAUUAUAAAAAUAAAGUAUCUCGUAGAGACUUUUGAUAAUUUAAUAAGUAUUGCUGACAAGGUGGGUAUACUGUAUUUCGAAAAAUUCUUUUUUUAUGUAGUUUUACAAAUACUCAACAUCUUUGGCCUACUCUUUAGGUUAUUAGAUUUCUAUUUCUUAGCAUGUAUCGGCAAACUUGCAGGCUACAAUCUAUCUCAAACUCUGGAAGGAACAAUCUUCAUCUUCCUAUCUAAGUGCAAUGCAUUGUUUCAUCUACUUGAGUCCUUCUCAAAUACUAAAUCUCCGGAAGGUCUUCUUGCAAUUCAACUUGCAUGUGAGGUAAGCAUUAUUCAAAACUUCUAGGUUCACUUAUCUCCUAUUAGUGCCUUCUUUGAUCUCUUUUAGUCAAUUGAGUUUGUUAUUUUUCUUGAUCCAGGUUGUGUUAUUUUUCAGAACACUGGUGGCUUGUGAUUGUUCAUGAAAGCAACCCUUGCAUCGUCCACAGAUCUAGAAGAUUUGGUGUACUCAUCAGAUAUAUGGAACGGCAGCAACUUCCAAUCUUGAAAAACUGAUCAUGGAUGACCUUAUAUGCAUAUGAAGUUGAGAAAAUCCUUUGGACAUGAAGUGUCUGGUAUACCUCAAUGGAUCAGAUGGGAUAAACAUGAAUUUGGCAAUAAAAGGACAUAGAUUGGUUGAGGGUUGUCAUACGGGUAACACUUCUUAUUUCAUUUAAUAGAAAGAUCUAUUUGUCAUACUUCUUGUGAUUAAUCAAUUAGUGUGUUCUAACUUAUGAGAUCUAAACUUCUACUUUCAUGUAUCUUUUAAAAUGCAAGUUGUGCUUAGAUGUAAAUAUUCUAGGUGAUGCAACCACAGAGAAAUAAUCUUUUUUUCCACACUUCUUGUGAUUAAUCAAUUGUUUUCUUGGUCUCCCAAUCUUGAAAGUGCAUUCGUUUUCCAUCUUCUCUCCAUUAUUUGCAGUCCCAUGCCUUUGGGGUUUAAGUUUCAAUACUUGCAACAUCUGGACGUAAAUGAUCUUGUUCCAAGUGAACUGCCCUGCUGGUGAAAAGAGAAUUCAUUCAUGUUGGUAGCAUAUGAGUAUAUCUGUCUAGUUCAUUCAUGUUGAUAGCAUGUGACUAUAUCUGUAUACUUACUUAACACACCUUUUCCUCCUCCCCUUUAAAAUUUCACUAGAGAUUUGAGUGCCAAAAAGAUUAUUUAACUUUUAAAGUGAACAUUAGGCUUAAAAAAAUCUGAAUAGAUGUUGUGCAUGAACAUCCACCUUUAUUUCUAGCAAGUAUUAUGUAUUUCUUCGUGCUUGAGUGUUUUUCUCCUUUUCAUUUUUCUCUUGCAAAAAUGGGUUUUGUUAUUUAUUAUCUAUUUCACAAAUCGUAGAUGUUUAAUUAGACAGAUAAAAAAUUUACCUGACACCUUUAUAUGUAUUAAUAUAAUUUGGAUGACGUGCAUAAAUCGAGAAAUUUUUUAUCAGACACCUUCAUAUGUAUUGCUUCCUGGUCACUUGUUGACUUCCUAGUGCUCUCAAACAAUUAAGAGUGUACUUACUUCCUAUGUAUAAUCAAUCUUUUACUAAGUUGUAUUGGAUAAUCUAGUCUUUUAUGGUGUUUUCAUUUCUCUUCAUUCAUGAGCUUGUAAUUGAAUAUGCUAGUUCUGUAAUUAUAGUUUGUUGAGUUGAAUGGUAGUAGGUUUCCCCAUACUCUUCUGAAAAAAGAAAGAAAAAACAGAAUGGGAUCACUCUUUUUCCCAGGGAAAUAAGAUUUGAAGAGCUUUAACGAGCAUUCACACAUGAACUUCAGCAGGCAAGAAGGUAACUAGUGGACGCUGUCGUUUUUGAGUAUGCAAGAUUGUGGCAUAUAUUAUUUCUAAAGCUUGUAUACAGGGAAAGAGCUGGGCAUAAGCUUAUAACAAUGAAACUGUUUAUCAAUACUUUGGUUCUUCUACUAAAAUAAUUUUAUUUUGAGCCUAUUCAUCUUUGCUUAUAUUAGUCUUUUAUUUAAUGACUUGCUUCAUGUGUCUCUUUUAUUAUGGUGCACAUUUUUUAUUCCCCUUAUUGUAUUAGUGAUAAAUGAAUUGGCUUAUGAAGGUUCUUGUUGUGUCGGUAAAAGGACUGUGUGAGAAAACGAAGGAUAUUCUAGUUCAAGAGAGUAAUGUGCAGGUACGAUACAUUAUUUAGCUUUUUUUUAAUUAUUAACGAAACUAGAAUUAGAACUUGGAGGCAUGUAGUCCUAAUCUAUAUUUGUUUGUUAGAUUGCCAUUAGAGCCCUGUAUAUGGGGUGUGUAUUUUCAGAUUCUGGUUGAACCUUUCCUCCAUUUUUUUGGGACGAUGUGUUUUGAAGAAUACCUCAAGCCUCUAUUUUGCUUUAGUAAAUAAAAAUGCAGAAUUGAUUUUCUGUCUAGUAGUUCUAGAAGGAUGACAUAUAUUCUGAAAAUUCAUUUAUAAGUAUCUUGAAGUGUAUGGUUUGUGUAAUUGCACUUCACUUUUUGUUUGUUAAUUAGAUGACGAAAUGUAUGCCGCUUGAAAUUUACCUCUCAUAGAUUAUGCUGACUUGAAUUAACCAAAUAUUAGUGUAAUGUAAUCCCAACAAAAAUUUAAUUAAUAUCUCUGUUUAUUUUUAAGUUGAGGGGGUGGGGGGUUUCAAAUUCUUAAGUUCAAUUGAGAUUAUCCAAUACGUAUCUUGGUGUAAAGAACAGGUAUGGCUUGCUAUUGCUGCUUUUAUCUCUUGCAUGCAACCGGUGUUUGCAGCCAUGUCGUGAUUGACUUCUGUUUUUCCUUAUCAUUACAUACAUACAUCUUAAUUUUAUCCCCAUUUUCUUAAAAAGAAAGAGAGAGAAAGCAUGUGUAUCUCUCCAACCAAAAAUAGAAGGGGACUGUGUGUUUCUUUGAUACAAUUUUGUUAAAUGUGAAAUUUUUGUUGUUACUGGUGACGCUAAAUAUUCUCUCCUUGUAAGCUUGAAAAGGUUUGAUGAUGAUCUUCUAUUGCCAAAGAAAAUUUCUAUCGAAAGCUUGCAUAAACUGACCCCAAGUCUUAGCUCUAGUGGAAAAAGGUGGGGGAUUUUUGGCUUAGGUCACAUGUUCAGGCCCCACACCAUGCAAAGCGAAGCCUGGUAUUUAAGUGGACGAAGGGUAGAGUGUGACGGCCUAUGUUAUAUAUAUGCUAGUUCUAUUCAUGUGAUACUUGAAAUAGACUUAUAGUGUAGGGGAGGGAUCAUGUUUCUUAUAUGGUUAGUGUUGGUUUGAACUAGCCCAGAAGGUGAUGUAACGCCAUGCACGUUUCAACAUGUGUAUUGCAAGUUAACUCUGACUGAAAGUAUUUAAGUAGAUAUAGUAAGGUGUAAUUGAGAUUAAAAUUAAAAGUUAAUUGCUAAGUUGAAGAACAAGAGAUUAACAUUCAGACAUUGAAAUAAAAUAAUUGAGCUGCUUGCUUGGCUUAAAUUAAGCUAGCAGCUGCAUCACCUACUUAAGCUAUAAUAUAGUUAAAGCGAAAAGUUUGAUGGACAAGAUUUAGGCUUAUAUUAAACGGAUUUCACUUGAAGUCAAACCUAUCAAAUGAAAGUAAAAUUUGAAAGAAAUCUCAGCAGUGAAAUCUGCCAAGGCCCAAUGUGGAAAAGCCCAAGAGAAAGAAACUAGGUGCAUCACCAAGUUUGACAUUUUGAGCUGUUUGAUGUGCACAAACAGGUGCAUCACCUACUUGCCCAAUUAAUGGCUGAAAAUGAACCACCCAAAAAAAAGAGGUUCUAGAGGAUAUUUUUUUGUUCAAUAAAGCUCUAUACAUAUCCAAUAUGAGCAGAUAUUCUUCACCCAUUUUAACACAUAAAAAUAAAAUUUAUCUCCAACUCUCUCUCUCUUCUCUCAAGGAUGAAACCAGCAGCCUUAAAGUUUUCUAGGCUUCUUGAAGAAACCCUUAAAUUUGCAAACCAAGUGUGAAGGUAAGAUGAAGUUCUAAAAGAAUUGAAGUUAUAAGGAGAAGUUGCAGAAAUUGACAUUAAAACCAAAAAGGGGAGGUUGAAUCGUAAUAGUAUAUUAGUCCGAGGAUAAGGUAUGUAAGGCCAUUGAAUUCUAUAUUCCUUUGGGAUGAAAUCUAACACCUGCAAUUACUAUCAAUGAAGUGAAUCUCAUAAGUUUUAUUCCUAGAAAACGAAACAUAGUGGCAGCGUACUAUCUCCAAAUAGCUAACAAUAUUUUUCCCUCUCUGUAGUGCAUAGAACUAUUUCAUCAUCUCUUCAUUAUUUUAUACAUGUGCUGUUAUACCCCAUGUGCUGGUGUAGAAAUGGUAAUUGCAAAAGCGAGAUGCGAAUCCUUCUUUUUGUUAUUUGAAGUCAAUUGUGUCAUUAAUCUCUUAAAGUAAUGUGUUGAUGUUACAUAGCUCCUUAUGUCAUUGUUAUUUCCUUGAAGUAUCAUUUUCAUGUCUUCUAUUACUGGUCCGUACUUUAUGUCUCCAAAAUGAUUAUGACUAACAAAAUAACAUCUCAGAAGAGUUAUGAACUGAUAAACAGCAAUCUCAAGGAUUAAAGAAUCUAAGUGAAGAAAUAUAUAUAAUUACGGGUGGAAGCCCAAGGCGAAAUCCUAGCAUGGGUCGAUCCCAACUGGUACAUAAGGGUUGCAGCUCAGGGGAGAAAUCCCUAUUUGUAUAGAAAGGUGGCAGCUUAGGCGCGAAAGCCUAGCAUGGGUCGAUCCCAAGUUGUGUAAUUAUGAGGACCACAUCCGAGGUGUUAAUACGCCUAGCAUGGGUCAUCCUCUUGUACCACUGAAUCAGCUGGUCACUUGUAUCACAUGCCUUACAAACAUUAUAACAUACAGAAAAGUAGAGAAAAGAAUUGAACUUGCUUGAUCCCACAAUAGUAAGCAAAGGUGGUCUUCUCUCCUAAUUUAUGCACUCAUAUGUUGCUAUUUGAUUUCAUUUGAGCUUUCUUAUUACAUAUUCUAUUGCCUUACAUAUUAAGUACAUUUUUUUCAUACUGAUGUACCUCACGGGGGACGCUGCAUUUCAUGCUGCAGGCACAUGUACUUCAGCUACUAGACCUCCUCAGUAGGAGCACACGAAACUCUGCUAAUAUUGGGUGAGCUCCAACUUGAUUCGAAGCUUUAUUGAGUCUUUGUUAAAUUUAUUUUCGUAUUGUAUCAUAGUUUAGGGUAAAGCGGGGUCUGUCCGACCUAAUCUAGUCUUCUAUCUUUUAGAGUCUUUGUAGAUAUAUGUAUAUGGUUCAGUUGUGUCUUAAGUAGUUGUGGCCUCAACAGCAAAGUCUUGUAUACAACUUUUGCACCUACUUAUGUUGUUUUGUAUAGUUGCAUCCUAGGUGAACUUAUCACAAUUGUUAUAGUUAUAUGCACAGUAAGAACAGGUUGUAGGCUGGUUCUCUCGGGACUUUACGCAUCGAGUUCUUAUCUAUCUUAAUGGGUUUUGAGGCAUGACAUAGAGGGGGCGGUUCCAUUAUCCAUCGAGUUUUCAAGGCUAUGAUUUGUACAAAGGGAGGGUCAUAGACGGAUUUCUCGGUUAUCUAAAUGAUUUCUUGGUUUUAAAAAUAAAAGAUCUUGCAGAGACUUUCGAGAACUUUAGAUGUAUUGAUGACAAGGUGGGUAUACUGUAGUUUGAAAAAUUCUUUUUUUCUUUAGUUUUACCAAUACUCCACUUCUUUGGCUUACUGUUUAGGUUAUUGACUUUUUUCUUGUUAACAUGCAUCUACAAACUUACAGGCUACAGUCAAUUUUAAACUCUGGACCAGUCUUCGAACAAUCUUCAUCUUUCUUAUCUCCAAGAGCAGUGCAUCGUUUGAUCUACUUGAGUCCUUCUUGUCUACUAAAUCUCCAGAAGGUAUUCGUGCAAGUCAACUUGCAUGUAGGGUAAGCAUUAUUCAAAACUUCUAGGAUCAAUUAUCUCCUAUUAGCGCCUUCAAUAUUUGCUUAGUUAAUUGAGUUUGUGGUUUUCUUUGUCUAGGUUGUGUUAUUUUUUAGCAUAGUGGUGGUUUUUCAAAAAAGCAACCCUUGCAUUAUUAUGGAGCUAGAAGCUUUGGUGUACUCUUCAGAUAUAUGCAACGACAACAACUUCUAGUCUUGGGUAGCUGAUCAUGGAUGCCCUUAUACGCAUAUAGAAUUGAGAAAAUCCAUUCGACCUGAAGUGUCUGGUAUCACUCAAUAGGUCAGAUGGGAAAAACACUAACUACUUCCUAAGGCACUAGAUAUUAUUUUAGGCAGUGAAAUGAAAAUGCUUGGUGGAUGGCUAUAUUUUCAUUUAAUAGAAAGAUAUAUUUUCGUCACACUCCUUGUAAUUCAUCAAUUAGUUUGUUCCAUCUUACAAAAACUACUUUACUUCAACUUAUGUUUGAUAAGCUAGUUGUGCUUAGAUGUAAAUGUUCUAGGUGAUACAACCACAAAAAAAUAACGUACCUUACAAAAUGAGGACACAUGAAACCCUUUUCAUUAGAAAUUUUAUAUCCUAGAUUAUGUAUGUGAUAGUCUUCAAUUAUUUCUAUGAACAUGUGGAUAUGAUCUUGCAAAUGAGUUGUUUGCUCAAUAGAGUGGACAUUACAUUGCAACAUGAAAAUAGUAUGCAAUUUUUGUUAGAGUAGUAUCUCGCUACAACUUUCAGUGAUCCUAGUCUUUUAGUGGCUCAACUUUGUUCAAAAGAUGUUAUAAGUUAUUAUAUAAAAUCUGAAUUUGUCCCGUAUUUCCCGAUGGUUUUUAGUAUUAAUGUUAUAAUAAAAUUAUCUGUAGAUUGGUAAGACUAUUAUUUUCUACUACUUUCCCUUAUAGGCAUUUUCUAUUUUUAUUUAUUUGACAGCUAUAUUCCUAUUUUAUCAUAGGAAAACAUAAGAAAUCUCUCCUUCUUAUCAAUGAGUUUGUUCCGUGUUUAAAGAAAAUAUUCACUUGAAAUUUAUGUAUUUACAGGACUGAAACGUAUAUUAACUAUGCUCUUGGAAAAAGAGCUAUUGCCUGAAUUUAGUGAUGAAGAUUCAAAAAAACUAAUUCGGCUACUUUUUGCGUCAACUGGGAAGGCAAUUUUGGAGAAGAUUUUUCCUGCUAGUGAUAAUAAAAAGAAAUAUCUCACCAAAUCACAAAAGGGGAGAUUCUUAAGUUCUUGUUGUUGAUACUCUCUGAGACUUACUAAAUGUUAUAUUCUAUCUUCAAACUUCAUAAUUUACUCCAGAUAAUGGAUUCCAAGAAGGUUCUGGUGAAACAAUAAGUUGGUGAUGAUUCUGCAACCUACUAGAUAGAUCUGUACUAUUUUAGUGGUGUGUUUGUGCUUCAAUUUUUCUUGAAAUUUCAUUCUUGUCUUAAGUCAGGUUAGUUUGUCAGAUACAUCCAAAUUAGUGAUUAGUAUUAUCUAGUGGAAGAGGUGCCAUUUUUGUAUAUUAUCAUGUUAUCAUAUUUAAUGUUUUUCUAACAACAUUAAGACGUUUUAUUAUGGUUGGAGUUCGAUAAUAGAUGUUGAUGUACCAUGGAACAUAGACGGUAAAUGUGUCUAUUAUAACCCAACAAGAACGUCUAGGAUUUGUCUUCUUAUAAAUGUCAUCCUAGUCACAUAAUCUAGAGAAUUUCAGAUUGCAAUCACCCUUGAACUGACUCAUUACCCUGCACUUGGUUCCCUAGCAAACAUUCCUCCCUAGAUACAAACCCUACUGAUUCCUUACCAAUUCCCAUAUCUCCCAAAGUUUUAUGUUAGGUUGAGAUACAAUCUUUUCUUGAAAUUUAUGUCCAAUGUACAAAAAAGUGCAUACUUGUUCUUGUUUUUAAUAGGGAAGCGAUGAAAUGGGUGAUACUUCUUCACAAUAAAGUCACCAGAAUUUCUGUAAGUGCUUGCAUAUAUCUCCCAUUUGCAUAGUAUUUUUCUUUUGCAUUUAGCUCUAAUUUUGUGCUUCUCAUUAGGCUUAAGUUUGAGGUGCACUUCGUUGUCUUUUUCACAGCUAAGAGUGAGUUUUCCUAUUUUACACUUUACUCCUCUGGUUUCACGACCACCAUACACUCACUCCUAUUCUUUUCUUUCUUUGUCCGUAAGAAACUAAGAGAAAACCAAAGAAAAUCAAACCUCCAUUUUAAUUUCAUUCAUCUUUUCCUCUGUAAAAAAAUCUAGUGUUUUUUGCAGUAAAGUUUGAACAAACAUUUCUCAUCUAUGUUGUAUGUUUCUUGGAGUUACUUCUUGAUCGACAAGCAGUAGAAGAGUGGGGACUUUUUUUAUCGAAACUUUAUCUGUUUUGGUUUUCAACUUUGUAUUAUAUUAAGUUUAGGCAGAUCAGAUCCACGUGUUCUUCAUUAUUUAGAUUGUUAGAAGAGGGGAAACUAACAUAGAUAUAUGUGUAUUAGAUUUCAAUACAUUGAAAUAUUUACAAUUUCUUGUCAAUUUUUUAUGUAGGGAUAACAUGAAAAAAAAUUCAUUUUAGUAGAGUUCCUGCUUAUUUUGGGGGAUUUCUAGUGUCUUCUAAGAUAAGCCAAUGAUUUUGCUUUCAAGCCAAGGAAUUUACCCCAAAUGAGAACACGUUACCCUUAAAUGAGGCAGAACAGUGAGUGGGAUUUUCUAUAAAGGGUGGUUGCCCCUAUCUAUUAUGCCACUGAUUUUCGUCCAUUACGAAAAACCGACAGCCCCUGUCUAUGAAAAAGCAAACACUGUAAAAAAAAAUUGGAUUUAGCAUGUAUACUGUGAGUCUGUUUGUUUCUUUUGUGUGUUUGUUUUAGUUUGUUUACUAUUGAUGAAAUGUUGACAAAGAAAUUGUGAUGAUGAUUUUUCUUUUUCUAUCUAAUCAAUUUGGGCAGUGAGAUUAUCCAAUACGUAUCUUGGUGUUAUGACCUGGAAUGGCUUGUUAUUCCUGCUUUUGUAUGUUGCAUGCAACCGGUGUUUGCAUCCAUGCCGUGAUUGACUUCUGUUUUCACUUAUCAUAGCAUACAUCUUAUCCCCAUUUUCUUAAACAUAAAGAGAGAGAAAGAAUUUGUAUCUCUCCACCCACAAUCUUCCAGCAUACUUGAACCUAAAUAUGCAAUAAAAGAAGUUGAAUUUCUCCUUAACAAAUUUUAGGUGACCGUGUGUUUUAUAGAUGCAUUUUUGUUAAAUGUGCAAUUUUUUUUGUUGCAGCAUGGUGAUGAUGAUUAUUCACUCCUUGUAAACUUGAAAAAGUUGGAUGAUGAUCCUCAAUUUUCAAGGAAAAUUUCCAUCGAAAAAUUAAAAAAACUGCCCCAUGGUAAGCUUAGGUCUAGUGGGAAAAGGUGGUAGAUUUGUGACUUAGGUCACAUAUUCAAGCCCCACACCAUGCAAAGCGAUGCCCGAUAUUUAAUUGGACAAGUGUAGAGGGGGCGGAAACAUAAUCCACCGAGUUUAGAAAGAUGUGAUUGGUCCAAGGGAAAGGUCAUAGACAUAUUUCUUUGUUAUAAAAAAAAAGAUAUCUUCUUUUGAGAACUUCAAAAGUAUUGAUGACAAGGUGGAUAUACUGUCAUUUAAUUUUUUUUCUGUAGUUUUACCAAUACUCAACUUCAAUGUCUUACUAUUUAAGUUAUUGGAUUUCUGUUUCUUAACAUGCAUCUGCAAACUUGCAGGCUACAUUCAGAACAAUCCUGGAACAAUCUUCUUCUUCCUUAUCUCCAAGAGAAGUGCAUCGUUUGAUCUAUUGGUGUUCUUCGUGACUAUUAAAUUUUUGGAAGGUCUUCUUUCAAGUCAACUUGAAUGUAGGGUAUGCAUUAUUCCAAACUUCUAGGAUCACUUAUCUCCUGUUAUUGCCUUCUAUGUUCUCUUUUAGUUAAUUGACUUUGUGUUUUUCUUGGUCUAGGUUGUGUAAUUUUUUUCAGAACAGAGGUGGCAGUUGGCUGUUCAAAUAAGCUACCCUUGCAUCAUCGACCGAAGUAGAAACUUUUGUGUACUCAUCAGAUAAUGCAAUGACAGCAGCUUCCAAUCUUGGGAAACUGAUCAUGGAUGCCCUUAUAUGCAUAUAGAAUUGAGAAAAUUCUUUAAAUCUGAAGUGUCUGGUAUCCUCAAUAGAUCAUAUGGGAUAAACAUGAACUAAGCAGUAAAAGCACAGCGCUUGGUGGAUGGCUAUCAUACGGGUAACACUUCUUAUUUCAUUUAAGAGAAAUAUCUAUUUUUGUCACACUUCUUGAGAUUAAUCAAUUAGUGUGUUCCAACUUAUAAUAACUACUCUGCUACUUCCACUUAUCUUUUAAAAUGCUAGUUGUGCUUAUAUGCAAAUGUUCUAGGUGAUACAACCACAGGAAAAAACGUACCAUAGAAAAUGACGAACACUUGGCACACUUUUCAUCCUAAAUUCGAUAUCCUAGUUUAAGUCUGUCAUAGUCUUCAAUUAUUUCUAUGAACUUGAGGAUAUGUAUGUCUAUGUUUGUGUGUGUAUGUGUUAGUUUCCUUUCUCCUAACCAUCUAAAGAAUGAAGAACACAUGGAUCUAUUCGUUGUGCUUUUGUUUAGCCUUUUAAUGUCAAUUUUAGUUUGCUCCAGCCUCUCCUAGAUCAGCCUCUUAAAUUUAAAUAUGCAAUAAAAGAAUUAAUUGUAUGUUCCCUUAAAAAUUUGAAGGUGAUUGUAUUUUAUAGAUGUAUUUUUGUUAAAUGUGAAAUUGUUGUUGUUGCAGGAUGGUUAUGAUGAAUAUUCACAUAAUGUAAACUUGAAAAGAUUGGAUGAUGGUAAUUGUCAAGGAAAAUUUCUAUCGAAAGUUUGCAAAAACUGCCCCUAUGAUAAGCUGAGCUCUAGUGGAAAAAGGUGGUGGAUUUGUGGCUUACGUCACAUCUUCAAGCCCCACACCAUGCAAAGCGAAGCCCGGUAUAUAAGUGGAGAAGGGUAGAGGGGCGGGGACAUUAUCCACGGAGUUUAGAAGGCUCUGAUAGGUACAACAGGCAGGUCAUAUGCAUAUUUUUCUGUUAUAAAAAAAAUAUUGUGGAGAAUUUCAGAAUUAUUGAUGACAAGGUGGGUAUACUUUGGUUUGAAAAUUUUUUUCUGUAGUUUUACCAAUACUCCACUUCUUUUGCUUACUAUUUAGGUUAUUGGAUUUCUGUUUCUUAGCAUGCAUCUGCAAAAUUGCAGGGUACAGUCUAUCUUAAACUCUAGAACUGUCCAGGAACAAUUUUCAUCUUCCUUAUCUCCAAGAGCAAUGCAUUGUUGAUCUACUUGAGUGCUUCCUGACUACUAACUUUCCGGAAGGUCUUCGUGCAAGUCAACUUGCAUGUAGGGUAAGCAUUACUAAAAUUUUCUAGGUUCACUUAUAUCUUGUUAGUGCCUUCUAUGUUCUCUUUUAGUUAAUUGAGUUAUUUGUUUUUCUUGGUCUAGGUUGUGUUAUUUUUUCAGAACAGUGGUGACUGGUGGCUGUUUAGGAAUGAAACUCUUGCAUCAUCUAAGGAUCCAGAAGCUUUGGUGUACUCAUCAGAUUUUAUACAACGGCAGCUGCGUCUAGUCUUGUGAAACUGAUCGGAAUCGGAGGUAUUUCACGGGAUAGCCUUUCUGACAAGCUCUUUUUAGUGAAAUCGGUCUGAUUUUGACCGAACUAUUCCCACCUAAACAUAAAGAGAUUAGAUAGUCUUGCUGUGAAAUGUUCGCAUCCAAGUCGCUAUUCCUUAAUGAGAAGAGGCGUAAAGAGAUAGUUCUGUCACGUCUCUAUUUCGACCAAGGUUAUUUGUCUAAUAGAAAGCGUUACUAAAAUUUUCUAGGUUCACUUAUCUCUUGUUAGUGCCUUCUAUGUCCUCUUUUAGUUAAUUGAGUUAUUUCUUUUUCUUGGUCUAGGUUGUGUUGUUUUUCAGAACAGUGGUGACUGGUGGCUGUUUAGGAAAGAAACUCUUGCAUCAUCUAAGGAUCCAGAAGCUUUGGUGUACUCAUCAGAUUUUAUGCAACGGCAGCUGCGUCUAGUCUUGGGAAACUGAUCAUGGAUGCCCUUAUAUGAAUAUGGAAUUGAGAAAAUCCUUUGGACCUGAAGUGUCUAGUAUCCCUCAAUGGAUUAGAUGGGACAAACAUUGAACUAGGCAGUGAAAGGACAGAGCUUGGUGGAUGGCUAUCAUAUGGGUAACACUUCUUAUUUCAUUCAACAGAAAGAUCUAUAUUUUGUCACACUUCUUGUGUAAUAUCAAUUCGUGUUCUCCUCCAUUAAAAAAAGCCAACAUUCCUUCUUUAUGAAAAAGCAAGAACUACAAAACAAAAAUGGAUUUAACUUUAUGUUUCUUCUGUGUGUUUGUUUUACGUUGUUGACUGUUGAUGAAUUUACACAAAGAAAAAGUGAUGAUGAUUUUUCUAUUUCUGGGCUAAUCAAUUUGGGCAAUGAGAUAAUCCAACACUUAUCUUGGUGUUGCGACCCGGUAAGGCUUGUUAUUGCUGCCUCUGUCUCCUGCAUGCAACCAGUGUUUGCAGCCAUGCUGUGAUUGACUUCUGUUUUUCCUUAUCAUACCAUACAUCUUAUCCCCAUUUCCUUGAAAAUAAAGAGAGAAAAAGAAUGUAUGUCUCUAAGCACAAUCUUCUAGCAUACUUAUCUCUUUGUUUUAGCCUGUUAAUGUCGGUUUUAGUCUUCUCCAGCCUGUCCUAGAUCAGCCUCUCAAACUUAAAUUUCCAAUAAAAGAAGUUGUUGUAUGUGACCUUAACAAAUUGAAGGGAUUGUGUGUUUUAUUUAUGCAAUUUUGUUAAAUGUGCAAUUUUUGUUGUUGCUGGAUGGUGAUGUUGAUAUUGACUGCUUGUAAAAUUCAGAAGGUUGGACGAUGUUCUUUGAUUGUCAAAGAAAAUUUCCAUCUAAAGCUUGUAAGAACUUACCCCAAGGCUUAGCUCUAGUGGAAAAUUUUGUUGGAUUUGUGGCUUUGGUCACAUGUUCAAGCCCUAUACCAUGCAAAGAGAAGCGUGGUUUUUAAGUGGAUAAAGGGUAGAGGGGUGGGCCCAUUAUCCAUCGAGUUGAGAAGGCUAUAAUUGAUCCAAAGGGAGAGUCCUAGACAGAUUUCUCGAUUAUCUAAAAGAUUUCUCGAUUAUAAAAAAAAGAUCUUGCAGAGAACUUUGAGAACUUCAGAAAUAUUGACGACAAGGUUGGUAUAUUGUAGUUUGAAAAGUUCUUUUUUUCUUUAGUUUUACCAAUACUCCACUUCUUUGCCUUAAUGUUUAGGUUAUUGAAUUUCUGCUUCUUAACAUGCCCAUCUUCACACGUGCAUGCUAUAGUCUAUCUUAAACUCUGGAACAAUCCUUGAUCAAUCUUCAUCUUCCCUAUCUCCAAGUGCAGUGCAUCGUUUGAUCUACUUGAGUCCUUCCUGACUACUAAAUUUCGGAAGGUCUUCGUGCAAGUCAACUUGCAUAUAGGGUAAGCAUUAUUCCAAACUUUUAGGAUCACAUAUCUCCUAUACUUUUAUCUUCUCUUUUUGUUGAUUGAGUUUGUAUUUUCUUGGUCUAGGUUGUGUUAUUUUUUCAGAACAGUGGUGGUUAUUCAGGAUAGCAACCUUUGCAUGAUUCACGGAUCUAGAUGCUUUGGUGUACUCAUUAUAUAUAUAUGCAAUGGCAUUAACUUCCAGUCACUUCCAGUCUUGGGAAACUAAUUGUGCAUGCCCUUAAAUGCAUAUGAAAUUGAGAAAAUCCUUUGGACCUGAAGUGUCUGGUAUCCCUCUAUGGAUCAGAUGGGAAAAACACUAACUACUUCCUAAGGUACUAGAUAUUGUUUUUGGCAGAGCUUGGUGGAUGGUUGUCAUACAUGUAACACUUCUUAUAUUAUUUGAUAGAAAGAUCUAUUUUUGUCACACUUCUUGUGAUUUCUCAAUUAGUGAACUUACCAGAACCUUAGUUGUGCGGACUCUUCACUUUUGAUGCCACACCCGUCUCAGAUUCUUAAAAAAUACACUACUUUUGGCGAAUCCGACAUGCACCCAUUGAAAUUUUUGAAGAGUCUGAGCAAUAUAGACCAGAACUACUCUGCUACUUCCGCUUAUGUUUUAAAAUGCUAGUUGUUCUUAGAUGUAAAUGUUCUAGGUGAUAAAACCAAAGAGAAAUAAUGUACGUUAAAAAUGAGGAACACGUGGCACCCUUUUCAUCCGAAUUUCAAUAUCCUAGUUAAGUCUGUCAUGUUGUUCAAUUAUUUCUAUGAACAUGAGGAUAUGCCCUUUUUUCUUCUGUAGGCUAAUAUCCUUUGGAACACCUGCUUGCUAAGAAACUUUUUUGCACUCUUCGAUUCCAUGAAGUUUGUAAGUCUCUUCCCUUUUCUGAAUGAAUAUUUGCCUUUCCUGAAUAUUAUUUGAGUACAUACUAACAUGAUGUUCGCUGAUUCCAACAUUUGCAGGCACAUUAAGUGAAGGCACGGUCUUCUACUUCCCACCUUGCCACAUAGUUAAUGUAUGUGAUUUCCGGGUGUUACUUGACUGCCCUAUGGAACUUUCAUUCCUAGUUGUAUACAAUUGUUAUUUUUUCUUUGCUUUGUGAGAAAGCUUCAAUACGUAGAGUCCAAAGUUCAUCAAAUUCAGAGUAAGGCAGGAAAUUUCAAAACUUCUUGAUGCAAAAUUUUAAUACAGGCUGAGCUUUGGUUUGAAACUGUAAAAAUCUUGCAGCUUUGGAGGGGAGUAUUUAAUCCAUAGAUAUGGUAUUAAUCUCAAGUUCGAUGAGUAUUCUAGGGUGGCCUUUUGCCAGCCUCAACGACUUCAGAUCUUAGGUGAUAGAAAAAACAUACUUUCUUGCAUUUAUAAAUACAAUGAAUUAAUGCUAGUAAAAAUCUUUUUUAUGUGGUUAUCUCAUCUGAUAUAUUCAAUAGAAGCAACUUCUAGACUAUAGAAACUGAUGACAGAGGACCCUAUUUCCAUGCAUGUGGAGUUGGGAGAUUCAAAAGGAACUGAAAAGUUUGGUUGCCUUCAAUGCAUGAGAUGGGAAAAACUUGAACUACUUCCUAGGCUCUAAAGGAUAUUUUUUGCAGUGAAAGGACAAAGAUUGGUGGAUGACUGUCGUACAAGUAACACUUUUUAUUUCCUAUAAUAGAAAGAUCUACUUUUGUUACAUGUUUUGUUGCAUGUAAUUGAAAGAAGUUUGUUGUUGUAAGGAUUGUGAUGAUGAAUAUUCACUACUUGUUAAUUUUAAAUAUUGUAUUAACUUCAAUUGUGAAGAUAAAUUUCCAUCGAAAGCUUACAUAAAGAUGUUACAGAGACUUUCAAAAACUUCAGAAGUUUUGAUGACGAGUUAGGUGUACUGUAGUUUGAGAAAUUCUGUUUUGUAGUCUUGCUGACUUUGUUACAUUUUCUUUUACAUGUAAUAGAAAGAAUUUUUGUUGUUGUAGGAUUGUGAUGAUGAAUAUUCAAUACUUGAUAACUUAAAAAGAUUUAUUAACUUCAAUUGUCAAGAUAAAUUUCCAUUGAAAGCUUACAUAAAGAUCUUAUAGGGACUUUCAAAAAAAGUAGAAGUUUUAAUGACGAGUUAGGUAUAGUGUAGUUUGAGAAAUUCUGCUUUAUAGUCUUGCUGACUCGACAUUGUUUUGCCUAACUAUUCAAGCUUAUUGGAUUUCUGCUUCUUAAAUUGCAUCUGCAUGUUUGCUAGCUACACUAUCAUAAACUCUGGAUCAGUCCUAGAACAAUCAAUAUCUUCUUUUAUCUCCAUGCUCAGUGCCUUGUUUGAACUUCUUGAGUCGUUAAUGACUACUAAAUCUCCACAGGUCUUCGUGCAAGUCAACCUGUAUGUAUGGUAACCAUUAUUCCAAACUUCUAUAUCCACUUCUCUCAUGUUAGUGCCUUCUAGGUUCUCUUUUGAUUAAUUAAGUCUUUUUUGGUCUAGGUUGCGUUAUUUCUAGAACAAUUAAACUUAUUACAAUCAUGAACUAUAUAGGGGGUUUCCAAUAUGAAGUAAUUAUUUUUUUGAACUUGUAACUAAAAUUUGUUUUAUUUUGCUUUUGCGAAUUUUUAAAUCUGUUGUUCUUUUCAUGAAAAAGGCAUUUUAAGCAUGGUGAAAUGGAAGCUCGGAGAUAUUGUGAAAAUGCUCUGAAAUUCUGUGCUACUGAGAGUCAUAAGGAGUUACUGUUCUUUGCCCUUAAAAAAUUGAAGGGGAUUGGAUAUGAGCUCAUUAUUAUUCUUAAAUCUGUAAUAAAUGAAGUUGGUGCAUGUGCCCUUAAUAAAUUGAAGGUGACUAUGUGUUUAUGAUACAUGUUGGUUAAAUGUCCAAUUUUUGUUGUUGCAUGAUGGUGACGAUGGAUAUUCACUGCUCCUUAACUUGAUAAGGUUGUAUGAACUUCAAUUGUCCAAGCAAAUUUUAAUCGGAAGCUUUCUUAACGAUCUUGCAGUGACUUCCAUAAACAUCAGAACUAUUGAUGAUGAUGUAGGUGGGUAUAGUGUAGUUUGAAAAUUUGUUUUUUGUCUUCUUGCUAGUGCUCAACUACUUUGGCUUACUAUAUAGGUUAUUGGAUUUCUUCUUCUUAACAUGCAUCUGUUGUUAGGAUCGAAUCCAUACACAUACACUUGAUGAAUGAAGAACACAAGAACUUUCAAGAGAAAGAGAUGAGAGAUAUAGAGAGAGAGAAAGAGAGAAACCAAUAUUUCGUGGUAACACCCCGUAAGUAAACUUCCACAGCGGUGGGUGUAUAUAUAUAUAUAUAUAUAUAUAUUAAUAAUUCAGAGUAUUUUUGGUUACAGAGAAUAAAUGGAGAAUAAAUAGUACAGCCUAAAAUUUGGAUUAUUGAACCACGUAAACAUUAAUAUAUGACAGUACAUCAAAUAUUUAUCAGGAUCCACAACCUAACAAUUCUCCCACUUGGAGACUGAUUCAGUCAUCCAAAAGUUCAUUCUCAAAAAGAAAUCUCUUCAUCAUCAACAUCUUUACCGCACCGCGACAGUUGUAGUAACAACUACAGAAGACCAACCGAGGUUUUGCAUAACCCAGCUUCCCAACAUCAACACAUUCGUCAACAUGUUUGUCGGGUGCAUUUCACCCUCUAUCUUCUCCAAGCACAUAUCACCAUCCUCCACUACCCUGAGAGUGAAAUGGUACCGCCUUUUAUGUGCUUUAUCUUUGAAUGAUAGACUGGAUUUUUCACCAACUGUAUGGCACUCUGGCUAUCUGAGUGAAGAAUCUUCUCGCUCUGCUUCUUUCCCAAUUCCUCCAGAUAAUCUGCCAGCCAUAUCAUCUCUUUCCAAGCUUCAACUAUUGCCACAUACUCAGCUUCAGUAGAUGAAAGAGAAACACACUUCUGAAGCCUGGCAUCAAACUCACUACUAUUCCACCUAUGGCGUAUAUAUACCCAGAUGUUUUCUUGCUCGAGUCUACAUCCCCACCAAGAUCAGCAUCUACAAAACCUUGUAGAGUAACCUUGCCUUUGCCAAAACAAAGUGAAGUGCUGGAUGUGCCUCUCAGAUAUCUCAGAAGCCACUUCACAGCUUCCCAAUGCUCUUUCCCCGAGUUUACCAUGUACCUGCUAACAACUCCCACUGCAUGUGCUAUAUCAGGUAUAAUGCAGACCAUAGCAUACAUCAAACUCCCAACUGCUGAAGCAUAUGGAACAAGUGCCAUAUGCUCACGCUCCUCGGCUGUGUUGGAUGACUGCUCCUUUGACAAGUUAAAGUGAUUUGCCAAUGGAGUAGUCCUUGGUAGCAUCAUUAACCCUGAAUCUGCUCAACACCUUCUCAAUGUACAACUCCUCAGAUAGAUUUAAAGUGCCAGCAGAUCUAUCCCGAGAAAUCUUCAUCCCAAAAUCUGCUUCGCUGGACCCAAAGCUUUCAUCUCAAAUGUUGCAGACAACCUUGUCUUCAGAUUGUUAAUCUCCCUCAUACUAGAUCCUGCAAUCAACAUAUCAUCCACAUACAAGAGUAGAAAGAUGUAUGAAUCAGUGUAUUUCUUGAAGUAACAACAAGGAUCCUUUUCAGCUUUACAGAAUCCACUCUUGGUCAUGAAGGAGUCAAACUUCUUGUACCACUGCCUUGGUGCUUGUUUUAGUCCAUACAAGCUCCUGGUGAGCUUGCAAGCCCUGUGCUCCUCUCCUAGAACCACAAAUCCUUCCGAUUGCUGCAUAUAGAUCUCUUUGUCUAGAUAUCCAUGUAAAAAUGCUGUUUUUACAUCCAUUCGAUCUAGAUGCAAAUUCUCCGAUGCAACAAUACUCACCAGAAUUCGAAUAGAGGUUAACAUCACAAUAGAAGAAAAUAUUUCAACAUAAUCAAUACCUUUCCUUUGUGAAUAUCUUGUAACCACUAAACGAGUCUUGAACCUUCUUUUGCCAUGUGGUUCAGUCUUGAUUCUGAAUACCCACUUGUUCAGCAAAACUCUCUUCCCUGCAGGUAACUCAAUAAACACCCAUGUGUCGUUCUUCUCUAGUGACCUCAUCUCAUCAUCAAUGGCUUGCUCCCACUUGAUCGAAUCCUCCACCUGUAGGGACUCAUUAAAAGACUCUGGUUCCCCCUCAUCAGUCAGCAAUAGAUAGUGUAAUGAAGGUGAAUACCUAUCUGGUGCCCUAAUGGUUCUGAUGAUCUCCUUAACACCUGCUCAGGUGUAACUUGCUCCACUUCAUAUUCUUCAGUUGGAGUUGGUUGAGUCCCAUACAUAUCCUAUGAGAUAAAGCCCCAAUGUUGAGCCUCAGACCUAAACGAAGGUUGCCAGCACGGUCCGUCGAUGGGUCUACGAGGUGUCAUUUAUGGGCGUUGAUGCAGCCUACAUUUAGUUGCCUGCACACUGUUUCAUGAAGGGGUGAAUAGGAGAUUAACCCCACGUCCUAACCUGACCUUUGGUGGUUAAUUUUUUUGUACUUUUGGGUACAUUAAGUUGUUUAUUAAGAUUCAAUCCCCAUACCCAAUUCAUUACUCAAAAUUAGACUUCUCUCAAAACAAAACCUCUCUAGAAACAUCCAUUGAGAUGAAGCUCAAGAACAACUUGUUGAUUGGAUUGUGAUGGUCUCUUCAUCAAGAUUUCAUGGUUUUCUCCUAUUGUGAGUUAUGGUGAUCCUUCAUCUUUAGAUAACCUUUUAUCUAAAGAGAUCCUUCCAAUGUUUUUAAGGAGAAUUCAUGAUCAAAUUAUAUGUUCUUCAAUCUAGCCAUAGGUUCCUUCUCAAAACGUUUUCUAAAGCAUUUUUAUGAUGAAUAUUGGAUUAGCUACUGUUAAUGAUUCUUUUAAUCCAAUUUCAUAAUGAACCCAUGUUCCUCCAAAAAUCUCAAUUUAGUCUAUGAUGUGUGUAACAUGAUCUUGUUGAGUUGAUUAUGGAUUGUGUUUUUGUUUAUGUAAUUGUAUCCCUAGCUACUGUUUUGUACUCAAAUUGACGGUGAAUUGUUUAUGAGUGAUCAAUGAUGAUCAAGGUUUAGGGAUUCGGUAAGCUUGACCUAUAUUCCCCUACUUUCUAUAGAAGUAAUGAUGUAGUGUACUUAGAGUGAUCUUGAUCCUAUCAUAAUUAAAUUAUUAUUUCACUAUGUUAUGAUACCUUUAUCUACUGUAUUAUACAUGUGUUGAGGUUGAAUUAUGAGUAUUGAUCAAUGGUGAUCAAAGCUUGGAGAAUUGGUGAAUUUGUCCUACUUCCUCUACUUCUCUAUAAAUUGCUAGUUGAAUUGGCCUUGAAGGGCAUUGUGUGGUAUGGUCCACUUAUGGUGGCGGUGUUUACUUUCUUGUUAAUAUGUAUAUUUGUUGAUCAUGGCCUUGAAGGCAAGAUUGUGAACUAUAAUAUGAGUCUUCUAUUCUAGUACCAUGAUCUAGAUGGUGAUGAUGUCUACCCCAAUUGAAUGAUGUUGUUAGGGUUAGGGUUAGGUGAUGCCAUUGAUGAAGUAAUAAUGGUUAAUGACCCCUAUCCAUGUACCCCAUAUGAAUAAGUUAUGAGUCUCAAACACAAAUGUUGAAAUUGCCUUGUUUCAUCUGCUAUUAUGUGAUGUGUGGUCUAUGAUUGAAUGUGCAUUAUGGUCUUAAUUGGGUGGAUGCCUCAAGUUGAUGUUGAUGGGUAUUAUGUGAUCAUAUUGACCAACGUACACACAUGUACUCACACCUUACGCAGGUUGACAAGUAGUAUAAGUUUAUGGUGUCUAAUAAAAGGAUAUUCACAUACGCACUAAUGUCUACUACAAUGCUUGUAAAGUAUAUGUACAUAAAGUAUGUUAUGUAUAUAUUAACUAGGAUGACUUGAUAGGUGUACUAGUAUGAACAAGGGUAUGGGACCUUGUCUAUGCAUUGCACAUGUGUGCCUUAGUUCCUAGGUUGUUAUCUAUGUACAUGAAUAUGAAUGUAUGAUUAAGCCAUGAAUAUGUCUUGUAUGAUAUGACGAAGUAAGAAUAUGUAUAGUGUUUAAAUGUGUUUAUAUGAAAGGAUUGCUCAUAUAGUUAAACAUAUACACUUAUGCAUGAAUAAAGUAUGAACAUGUAUGGUCCAAGGGUGUUUAUGUGAAAGGUUUUCUCACAUACAUGUACACAUACACACACAUGAAAGCAUGUCUUUGAUGCUUGCAUGAUGAUCUAGUAAAUAGAGGGUCUCUUGAAAGAUGUUAUCAAUUGUAUCGUAAAACAAAUGGUGCUUGAAUAUGCUAUGUCCAUGUGAAAGGUUUUCUUACAUGAUUUAGGUUGAUGAAAGAAUGCUCUCAUCUAUGACCUAUGAGCUAAGCAUAGGAGGAGUUAAUCUCCUAAAGCCUAUGUUUUAUAAAGUAAUAAUAAUAAAGUCUUUUCAAUAAAGGAAAAUUAGCUUAGAGCUGAGUGCCCAUGAAGUUGAAGGGUGUCUCUUCCCAAUGAGGGAAGGUCGGUUCACCAAAGUCCUCACGAGGUGGAUAACUACAAUGCCCCGUUUGGCAUAGAGAGCAUUCCAUAUAUGCCUCCAAGUUUCAUGAACUAUGUUUGCCCCAUAGGAUCUAGAAAGUGAUAUCACCUAACAUGCUAGCAUGAUGUUAAUGUUCUACUUUGGCAAAGUAGAGCACCUCUUUUGGUGUGAGGUUCUACAACACUGGAUUUCAUGUUUAGCACCCAUGGUCUUAGUGUCGGUUAAGGCUAUAGUUUCUCUAAAGUAAAAUGGACAAUGGAAGUAAAGUAAUGGACUCUAACUAGGAUAACAUAAGGUAAGUUGCUAGUAUACGUGAGAAUAAUGACGUUACCUAUGCAUUGCACAAGUAGCUUUUGCAGGAAGUUCUACGAAGGUGUUCUAAUGUAUAUGUAUAUGUUUAUGUUCUUUAUGCAUGACAUUGUAUAUGCUAUCUACUUGUUAUGGUGAUAUGCAUGGUAUGAGAUCUAUUGAGUCUAUAUGAUGUGGUCUUACGUUACAUGCAUAAUGUUUUUCUUGUUGAGUAUAUGAUGAAGGUCCUACUUGAUAUGCAUGUAGUCGACUAUAGUAUCAUGGUUUACAUAUGAAGUACAUGGGCAUUAGUAGGCUUAGAAUGAUAUUAUGAGUAUGGUUCUAUGAUGUCUUUCUGAAGUGAAGUACAAGUAUGUUAAUGUUCACUAUUGUCUUACCAUGAUGAUGUUGGAAGUCUUGACUAUGUGGUCUUGUUAUGAGUUCUUCUAUGUGGUCCAUAAAGUAUGUUGGGUCAAAUGUGAGGUAUAUGUCUUAUUAUAUGAAAUGGUACUAUGAAUGUAUGUGCCUUAAGGUGAUGCUUGAGUGUGGAGAGUGUAAUCGGACAUUAUCUAUACAUUGCACAAAGUAUCACUAGAGGAUUCUUGGGAAGUUAAGGAGUUAAGAGGAAAAAGAAGUUACUAUAAAUGAAAUGAGCUUACUAUGAAGUGAUGCUAAAUGAGCGUUAAAUGCACUGUAUGACUUUAUGUGAUGUUAUUACUAUUGUAUAUGCCUAUAUGAACUAUGUGAGUUGAAUGAUGCUUAUGGUAUCAAAGUUUAUGAAUUUUUCACAAAAGACAUGAUGCAUGGUUUCAAAUUAACAUGUCCUCUUUAUACUUUUAUGCAUGGUUGUCAUACUUAGUGCAUUCUUGUACGAACACCAUUUUUCUUCACUUUUUCACACAAAGUGUAGGUUAUGGAUGCUUAAAGGAUUUCUCUAAGAUGAUGGGCUUGAUAUGUGUUUCCCAAGCUCAAGGGAAGGGAUCCUUAAGCUCAAGGAUUUCCUAUGUCAUAUUCUUUUCAAGUUAUGUAAAAGCUUAGUUAAUGUACUCUAAUGAUGGUGAGUCUAAGACGACAAAGAGACUUAGAGUGUUAACUAUAUAUAUGAUAUUUUAUACAUAUAAUGGAAGUGAUUUCUGGCAUAUGAUGUGCUAAGAAAGUUUCCAAUUUUCUGCUGAAUUUCCUAUGACAAGGCAAUGAAUGAUAUAUCAUGGCUUGUAUAAGACCUCUGAGAGGUCAAUCACGCCAUGUUACAUCUAGGGGGGUGCUCCUCGGUCGUGAUAAAGUGGUAUCAGAGCAUGAUGUUAUCAGAGCACCUCUUUAGGUCUGAGGUUCUACAACACCGGAUUCCAUUUUUAUCACCCAUGGUUUUAGUGAUAUUUAAUUCUAUAGUUUCCCUAAAGUAAAAUGGAUAAUGGAAGUAAUGUAAUUGACCCUAACUAGGAUAACCUAUGGGAACUUGCCUAGUUUAGGUGAGAGUAAUGGACUUACCUAUGCAUUGCACAAGUAGCUCUUGAAGGGAGUUCUAGGAAGGUGUUCUAAUAUAUAUGUUUAUGUUCAUUAUUCAUGACAUUGUAGUGUUGUAUACUUGUUAUGGUGAUAUGCAUGGUAUGAGUCCUAUUGAGUCUAUAUGAUGGGGUUUUACCUUAUAUGCAUAACAUUGGUCUUGGUGACUAUAUGGUGAAGGUACUACUUGAUAUUUGUAGUUGACUAUACCAUCAUGGUUGAUGUAUGAAGUACAUGUUAAGGCUUGUAGUCUCUCUGUAGGUUUAGUUAGUAUGUGGAGGUUAUAGGACUUCACAUGUACAUGGCACUGGUAGGCUUAGAAUGAGAUUAUGAGUAGGGUUCUAUGAUGACUUGUAGAAGUUAAGUCCAAGUAUGUUAAUGUUGACUAUUGUCUUACUAUGAUGUUGGAAGUCUUCACUUGAAUGUGGUCUUGUAACGAGUUCUUCUAUAUGAUCCAUAAAGUAUGUGGGGUCAUAUGUGAUGUCACGCCACAAAUCCCAUUAAGACGGACAGACACCCGAUGCCCAAAAAGGCCCGAGUCAAUCAGCCUGUAACCUGUGCUUACUAUGCAUAUAACUAUAACAAUCGUGUGAUAAGUUCACAUCGGAUGCAGAGAUACGAACCAACGUACGUGACCCAACACUUGGCUGAUUAUGCCACAACUCUUUAAGAUGCAACUGAACCAUAUAUAUACAUCCACAAAGCCUCAAAACGCCUUACCCUUAACUACGAUACAACACCAAAAUGAAUUUACCAAGGUCUUAGUAAAGCUUCGAAUCAAUCUGGAGCCAAAAGUAGUUGAGUGUCGUGUGUUCCUACAAAGGAUGUCUACUAGCUGAAGUACCUAUUCCUGUAGCAUGAAAUACAACAUCCCCAGCGAGGGACGUCAGUACGAAAAAUUGUACUUAAUAUGUAAGGAAAUAUAGCAUUUGUAAUACGAGGGCUCAAAUGAAAUCAAGUAUCAACCAUAUGAGUGCAUAGAUUAGGACAGAAGACUACCUUUAUUUACUUUUGUGAGAUAAUGUAAGUAGCAUUCUUUUCAUUACUUUACUAUACAUUAUAAUCUUUGUAGGGCAUGUGAUACAAGUGACCAGCUGAUUGGUGGAAGAAGAAGAUGACCCAUGCUAGGCCUUUUAACCCAGGGAUGUGGUCCUCAUAAUUACACCAUUUGGGAUUGUCCCAUGCUACCCUGAGAUGCCACCCUUCUAUACCAAUAGGGAUUGACCCAUGCUAUGCUUUCUCCCCUGAGUUGCCACCAUUAUGUUGGGAUCGACCCAUGAUACGCAUUUGCCCCUUGGAUGCCACCUGUAAUUAUACAGAAUUCUUCACUUAGAUUCCUUAAUCUUUGAGAUUGUUGUUUAUCAAUUCAUAACUCUUUUGAGAUUGUUGUUUUGGUGGUCAUAUCAUUUUGGACAAAUGGAGAUACAUUAGCAGUGGUAGAAGACAUGAAAACAAUACUUCAAGGAUGUAACAAUGAUAGAAGGAGCUAUGUAACAUCAACACGUUACUUGUGAGCUUAAUGACACAAUUGACUUCAAUUGACUAAGAGAAGGGAUAUACCAAAUUUUCUUUUGCAAAUAACAUUUCUAUACAAGCACAAGUAGGAUACUUACACAAGUAUAGAGUAGUGAACAUAUAAUGAAGCAGUUCUAUGAACUAAUAAGAAGAGGGAGAAAUAUAUUUAGCUAUUUGGAGUUAAUACGCGGCCAUUGUUUCCUUUACUAGGAAUAGAACUUAGGAGAUUCACUUCAUUGAUAUUAAUUAAAAGUGUGAGAUUUCAUGCCAAGGAAUAUGGAAUUGAAUAGCCUUACAUACCUUAUUUUCUGACCAAUACCACUAUUGUCAGCCCCAACCCUAGGUGAGGCGGACAAGUAACUUAUUAACACAUACUUUACAAGUAAUCUAUGAUGAGAAAGUAAACUACUAUGCAGACUACCGAUGAGAAGCUUCAUAUACAACACAUUUUGACUAGCUAAAUCGAUAUAUACGACAAGAGAAACUAUGAAUACAAAUAAUAACUUUACAAUGUCUACAAAGCCUCUACUGGAAGCCAUGAUGGUACCAUUAUUAAUAUACACAUAGUAAAGACUCGGAAAAGCCCCGAAUUAACCUGGAGCUUACCAACAUCCACUGAGUACAAUGUGCUUCUAUUGGAAAGAUCUACUAGUUAAGUACUUGUACCAGCAACAUGAAAUGCAGCGUCCCCAAUAAGGGACGUCAGUACAAAAGAAUGUACUUAAUAUGUAAGGAAGAAUACAACCAUAUUUAACAUGAGAGCUCAAGUGAAACCAAAUACCAAUAGAUAAGGAUUAGAGACCACCUUUGCUUUGUAGUUGUGGAAUCAUGCAUGUUACAUUCUUUUCUCUAUUUUUCUGUACUUUAUAAUCCUUAUGAUAUAAAAUGACCAGCUGAUUAGUGGGAGAAAAGGAUGACACAUGCUAGGCAUUUUAACACUUGGGAUGUUGUCCUUAUAAUUCCACUAAUUAGGAUCAACCCAUGCUAGGCUUUUGCCCCUGAGAUGCCACCCUUUCAUACCAAUUGGGAUCGGCCCAUGAUAGGCGUUCACCCCUAGCUGGCACCCUUUAAUACAAUAAAGGAUCGGACCAUGCUAUGCUUUUGUCCCUGAGCUGCCACCCAUAAUCAUACAAAUUACUUCACUUAGAUUCUUUCAUCUUUCAGAUUGUUGUCUAUCAGUUCAUAACUAUUUUGGGAUUUUUCUUUAGAUAAUUAUAACUCUUUUGAGAUUGUUCUUUUUUAUGUCUAUAACUUUUUUGUGAUUAUUGUUAUGGUGAUGAGAUACCUUGUUUAGAUUUGGAACUACGGAUGAGUAGUAGAAGACAUAUGAAUAUGGACAUACGAUAAUAACAAUGACAUGGGAAGCAAAUUUGACUUGAACGUAGUACUUAGGAGCUUAUAUGACUCGGUAUGCAUUUUGACAUCUCAAUUGAAGCACAUCUAGUGAAGACAAUUUAACAUUCAGACAACAGAUUUGGACUCUAUAUGAUGCUAAUACAAGGUGUUUAUGAAUAUGGAACCAAGGGGGAAAAAAUAUGGGCAGAUUAAACUUAAGGACGAAACAUAUUCCUAGUAAGUACAUAUAAAUAGACAAUUGAGCAAGUAGUGAUCUUGUGAGGUAACAUUAUAGUCUAACACAAUGGGAGUAAUAACAAAUAAAGGGAACAUAUGAACUUGUUAUAAGUAGACAUGUCUAUAAACAAUUAAAGCAAGUUGGAAAGAUAUGGGCAGAUCAUAUAUCCAUCCAAUAAACAUAUGUACAUGUGUAAUAUAGGAUCACUUUUUGACUUAUAUAUGAAAAAUAUGUGCUAGAAGUACUUUGGCAAUGAAACAAGUUUAAACCUUGCAUGCUAACACUUGGUAGAGUAAACACACACAUUUAAUAACAAACUUAUAUUAGAUUACCCACUUUAAUGCUCUAAGGAGUAGGAACUGAAACUGUGGAUCAGUCACUACCAAAGGCACUUAGAAAGCUUACUUUUUGUAAUGCAAUUUUCUGAUUCAUGCCAAAGAAAUAGGAAAUGAAAUAGCCUUACAUGCCUUGCUAUACAAUUCAAAACGUAUGACUUGAACUCCUUCUCUUCAGAUCACUAAUCUACAAUAAAAAUAAGUUGUAAGACUAGUAUUAGUAGCUAAUCAAUAAAUUUGAGCCACUUGAUCAAACCCAAAUAGUAACGAAUCAGUAAGCUGCAAUCAUCUAACGAGUUUUUUCUUCCUUCCCCAUCCCUUUAAUCGCGUCUAUAUACUGUACAACCUUUGUAUCAGGUCCUCCCCAAAACUCCCUGCAAUAUUUAAGUCCUUUAAUGUCUCCAUAACUUCCCCGCACAUCCAGUCACAUCCCUUAUCAUAACAUACAUAAAACAAUCUUUGAACAUAAUAAUGUAAUAGAAGCAACAUAAAUCAUGGUUUCUGAUAACCAGCACUUGAAGAGCUAACAUUACUUUUAAUGUUCUCAAACAAGCUCAUAGCUUAAUUUAAAAGAACUCCCCACCAUAGCUGUCCCAAUAUGCACUAAUCACCAGAACAUCCUCCCCAAUAUUCACCAUGUAAAAGUAACAAUUCCCAACUCAAUAACACAUACCAAAUGUCCUAAUUAACUCCAGCACAAGAGAAAUUUCAGUAGCUUACCUUGCUGGACAUAAAUACCACUUGCUAAGAUUUGGAUUCUUCAAGGUAAAGGUUGUCCUCCUUAACUUGUCUUAAAUUAUACCUUCCAAUAGCUUGAAAUACCUAUUAUUAAUGAAACCUCAUGAUAUUUAAUGGUUGUUGUAUGAAUCUAAGAGAGAGAAGAGAGAAAUCUCGAGUAAUCAUAUUUUUUGUCAAAGUAAAAACGGUUAGAAAAAGCUGAUAUCAAUCUCUUUUAAAAGAACUUACUUUGGCCGAUUUUGUCACUCAUUUUGGGCCAUAAUUUUUCAAGUAAGUGACCCACCUACUUGUACUUUUCAUUUGGGCUUUUUGGACUUAAGAACAUUGGCCCUUUUGCCACGUUUCUUGUACUUCAUUUGCAGCCAACACAUGUCGUUAAUUUGGGCCACCCUUUAAGUAGGUGCUGCACCUUGUUUUCCACUAAAAUUAUUUAAUGUGUACUUGAGAAGAUUGGACCUUGGCUGUCCAUUUUCCCCUUAUUCUUCUAUUCAACUUUGGCUAAAUUAAUGCAAAUAGGUGUAGUGUACUUGUCUCAAUUUAGUAGGUGAUUGGUCCUUUGGGCUGGUCAAUAUGUCAAAGUAGGUGAUUCACCUACUUGGUCCUUUGGGAUGGUCAAUAAGUCAAAGUAGGUGAUAAACCUACUUCUCACAUACUAGCUUAGUGAAGUCAAGAAAGCACCUCAAUAUUUUGUUCCAUUUCAAGACCUUAAUAACUUCACCAUAACUUAGAACUUAUAUACACUAUGUAACUUUAUACUUUAGACUCAAAUACAACCUUGUGAUCCCAUGUUUAAAUACUUCCAUCGACAUCAACUUAAUUGGGUCGCACCAAAAUUUCUAGACAGUUCACUAUAAACCUUAUUUAUUGCCAAAUCACAUAGGAAACCGAAUUCAUAACUAUACCACAAGGCAGUUUAUAAGCAUUAUAUAAAUAGAACUAGUACAUAUAGAAUACGAAGAGUUACAUCUCCCCCUCUUAUGAUCAUUCGUCCUCGAAUGAUAGGUGCACCUGGUAGUUCAGUUGAUCUCUAAAUUUCAUAUAAAUAUUUGCAAGAGUCCCCAUUGUAAAUAGGAAGAACUAUCAAAAAUUCAUAGACUAAACUAAAACAUGCAUAGAUAAAUCUAGCAUGACGUCUCGAUAGAUAUUGUUCAUGAAAUAGUAAUAUGAAAAAUUAAAUCCCUUCUUUACCAUGUCAUUCACUGAAGAUACACAAGUAGUACUCAUACAAAUAAGACUGUAAUAUAACUAAACACAAGACACACAAAUGACAUAUCAAAUGAACAAAAGCUAGCAGGAUUCAUGAUCAUAUAAGGGGAACACAUGAUCUCAGAUCCUUAUAUUGAUGUUUAAAAUGAGGAGGGUUACUUAGUAUCUCUCUACCAUCUUCUAUUCCCAAGUAUCUUAUGUUAUAUUCUAUUCCUUCCCUAAUACAUAUCGUUAUACACUAUGCGUUAACAAUUAAGAAUAACUAUACUAUCUCCCAAUAUUUUUUUUGUACAUCAACGGACACAUAAAAUCAUAGGCUAUCGCAGCAAUACUUUCCUUUCUCUUUUAUUUGUGACACUUUUCAGAGAUAAGUAUUUUAAGAACACAUAGUUCUUAAUAUAAAAUCUAAAGUUCUAUGUCGCUCUUGUGAAUAGGGUAUUAUGCUAAGUUAUUUGUUUAUGGUUGAUUAAAUUUAAAUCUAUCUCAACUUUUUCUGGUCAAAAUCUUAACUACUUAAUAAUACAAGGAAAUAUUUUCCCAAAUUAUUCAAUACUCAAAUAAAUAAGCAUAGAGAGGGCAUAGUAUAUGGAUGAAUAAGCCACAUUGGGGAUGACACAUAGGCAGACUAGCCCAAAAGGGAGCACACAAAGUAUACUGGAUUAACUAUAGAAAUGCACAUGGUGUACGCGUGCAUAUGAGCUAUAGGUUAGAGUGUGAGCGAAUGAACAUAGGGAAUAUAGGGAUGGUGUCACGCCUGAAAACCUAUUAAGGAGGACAGGCACCCGAUUCCCUAAAUGCCCGAGAGAACAAACCUGUAACCUGUCCUUAUUGUGCAUAUAACUAUAACAAUUGUGACAAGUUCACCUAAAAUGCAGUGAUACAAAAAAACAUAAGUAGGUUUAAAAGUUAUAUACAUGACUUGCCUGUUGAGGCCACAACUCCUUAAGACAAAACUGAACCAUGUACAUACGCCUACAAAGCCACUAAAGAUAGAAGACUAGAGUAGGUCGGGACAGACCCCGCCUUACCCUUAACUUCUAUACAAUACCAAAAUGAAUUUACCAAAGACUCAAUAAAGCUCUGAAUCAACUUGGAGCUCACCCAAAAGUAGCAGAGUUCUGUGUGCUCCUACUGAGGAGGUCUACUAGCUGGAGUACCUGUGUCUGCAGCAUGAAAUGCAGCGUCCCCGCGAGGGAUGUCAGUAUGAUAAAAUGUACUGAAUAUGUAAGGAAAUAUCAUAUGUAAUACGAGAGAUCAAAAUGAAAUUAAAUAGCAACAUAUGAGUGUAUAUAGAUUAGGAGAGAAUACCACCUUUGAUUACUCUUGUGGGAACAAGUAAGUUACAUUUUUUCUUUACUUUUUGUAUGUUAUAAUAUUUGUAGGGCAUGUGAUACAAGUGACCAGCUGAUCAGUGGUAGAAGAGGAUGACCCAUGUUAGGCGUAUUAAUCCCUAGGAUGCGGUCCUCAUAAUUACACAACUUGGAUCGGCCCAUGCUAGGCUUUCGCCCCUGAGCUGCCACCAUUCUAUAUCAAUAGGGAUCGGCCCAUGCUAGGCUUUCGCCCCUGAGCUGCCACCCUUAUUUACCAGUUGGGUCGACACAUGCUAGGUUUUCAUUCCUGGGCUGCCACCCGUAAUUAUAUAGAUUUCUUCACUUAGAUUCUUUAAUCUUUAAGAUUGUUGUUUAUCAAUUCACAACUCUUUUGAGAUGUUAUUUUGGUAGUUAUAAUCAUUUGGAGAUAUAGAAGUACAGAACAGUAAUACAAGACAUGAAAAUCAUACUUCAAGGUAAUAACAAUGACAUAAGGAGCUAUGUAACCUCAACACAUUACUUUAAGAGAUUAAUGACACAAUUGACUUCAAACAACAAAGAGGGGGAUUCACAUACCUGUAACAACAUCUACCAUGGCAUAACAAGAAGCUAACCAAUCCAUACCCAUUAUAACAUCAAAAUAUACUGUGUCUAGCUCAACAAGAUCAGCAAAUGACUCGCGACCACAAACAGUUAUAAUGCAAUUACGAUAAACCCUUCUAGCUAUUAUAGACUCACCAAUCGGUGUAGAUACUUAAAAUGGCUUUAAUAAUAAUUCUGCUGUUCUUUUGAACUUUUCAGCAAUCAAUGGUGUAACAUAUGAUAGAGUAGACCCAGAUCAAUUAAUGCAUAUAUAAUAUGUGAAAAGAUGGAUAAUGUACCUGUAACCACAUUGGGCGAGGCUUCUGAAUUUUGUCAAUCCCCUAGUGGAUAUAUGCGAUUCUGACCUCCAGUAGAUCUAGCUGCUCCACUAGCUCCUCUACCACGACCUGUAGGCAUAUGUAGUCCCCUACCUAAAAAAGGGGUUGAUGGGGUCAACUCAACAACUGAUCUAGUUGGUUGUGCAAAGCCACCCACUCCCCUAUGAGGGAAGUUUCUCAUCAUAUGCCCUGGUGUGCCACACCAAAAAAAAACAUCCGCCCCAAACCUGCAUGAACCUAGAUUAUUCCUCCCACACUAUUUACAAGGUUGUCGUGGAGGCCUUGAUUGGCUCGUACUUCCCUGCUCUUGAUGACUCACUAUUUGUGAGCCUUGGAUUUCACUUCUUUGCCCAAACUCAUUGCCCCUAAACCCUUGGAACCGUGGUGGAGCACUAGCUGUAGAGUAGAAAGAUGACGGCCUAGGUGGUCUGUUAGAGAACUGAGGCCUAAAUUCACCUUGGAAUGGUGUAAACUGGACCAUGGAUCUAGCCCUCUUAGAAUUCCCUAUUUCCGACUCUUGCGUCCUUCUUCUAUGACUUUGAUACUCCAACUUUUGCGCAAAAGCCUGCAUCCUUGAGAUAUCCUUAUCUUUAUUCAACGAUUUACAGUCACUAACCCGAUAUAAAUCUAAUAGAUCCACAAAUCGAUGAACUCUAUCCUCCAUAGUCGCUACUACUACAUUAGGAGCUUACCUGGACAAGAAUUAAAUUUGAGACUAUACUCCCUCACUCAUAUUUCCUUGGUGGAAAUUUAACAACUGAUCCGCACAUGCCUCUUGGAUCUCCUAUGGUAGACAAUGAUCAAGGAAUGACUUUUUGAACUCUUUCCACGUAGCUGAAGGUGCAUUUGUUCCCCUAGAUUGCUUCCAAGCUUCAUACCACAAUAUAGCCACACCUUUUAAUCUGUAUGCAGCUAGCUUAAGUGCUUCUUUACCACUUACAUGCAUAAUAUCCAAAGUACAUUUAAUUUGAUCUAUAAAGUCUUGUGGAUCUUCAUAAGAAUCUGAACCGGUAAAUGAUGGAGGGUCCAAGUUAAGAAAAUUAUGUAUCCGUGUUCCAGCUGAUCUAUCUACACCACUAGUACCUGCAACUGGACCUUCUUUCCUUUGGCCAUGACCAGCAGAUACGAGUCAAUAAUUGGACUGCAUUCCUCAAAUCUUGCUCGGUAGCAUUGAUAGGGGGUUCCUGAGAUUAAUCUUCCCUCCUUAGUUCUUCAUAAGAUGGAGGCGUCGGGGAAGUCUUCGAUAGAGACUCAUCUUGAGACCUACUUUGAACAGCUUGGCUUGGUAGUGGUUGGCUGGUCACUUCUUGGGCAGCCAUAUCUGCUCAUUUACCAGUAUUUUUACUCCUCGUAACCGGAAUCUUUGCUAUGAUAAAACAAUAGAGAAAUUAGAUAUGAUUCACCUCCAACAAUGGUUCUAUCGCACGAUCUAAGAAAUGAAAGAAAUGAGACAACUCCUACAUGUCCCGUAGCCUCCUGCUUAUAGAUGUGGUGCACAACACAUCCAUAAGCAAGACUCUACACAGACACAACUUUGUAGACUCCCUAGGAUGACCUGCUCUAAGCCUCAAAACCCCUUAAGACAGACAUGCACCCAAUGCCCUAAAGGCUCAAGAGAACCAACCUACAACAUUUUCUUACUGUGCACAUAACUAUAACAAUUGUGACAAGUUCACCUAAAAUACAGCAAUACAAAACAACAUAAAUAUGUCAAAAUGUUAUAUACAAGACUUGGACGUUGAGGUAACAGCUCCUUAAUACAUAACUGAAUCAUGGACAUACAUCUACAAAGACUCCAAAAGAUAGAAGACUAGAGUAGGUCGGGACAAACCCCGUCUUACCCUUAACUACGAUACAAUGCUAAAAUGAAUUUACCAAAGACUCUCCGAAUUAACUUGGAGCUCACCCAAAAGUAGCAGAGUUUCAUGUGCACCUAUGGAGGAGGUCUAAUAGCUGGAGUGUCACGACCCAACCUGAUGGGCCAUGACUAGUGCCCGUUUUGGACACCCACAUACAAACCUGCUAAGUAUAACAAACUGAAACUAAGACAAUAUGGAAUUUAAUCAAAUCAAGCCAACCCCAACGUCAUAUAUAUAAAGAGGACCUGUCUUAUAAGGAGUCAUAACCAUUCAACCAUAACAACAUACGCGAGCCGACAAGGCUGCCACUACACAAUACACAAUGAUGUACGCAGCCGACAAGGCUGCCCCUCUACAAGCAGACAUCCCAAACAAACCAUGUCCACACCAUUACCCAAAACAUAUAUAUACAACCCACAUAAUGUCCACAGAGCUCAAAGAGUACAGUAGUGAAACUCGACGGGACAGGGCCCCGCCAUACCCAUACACGAGCAAAAGACUACACAAAAGUUAUGUACCAAAACGACUGGGCUCCGGAACAGUGGAGCUCUCCCAAUCAGCAGAGUAGAUAUCCUAGGCGGGAGGAUCACCGAACUGUGCGUCUACACCUACGGGCAUGAAACGCAGCACCCCGAGGAAAGGGGGGUCAGUACGGACAAUGUACUGAGUAUGUAAAGCAUAAGGUAAAGAUGACAGGAUACCAAUAAGCAAUUCAAAACAAAAUAUCGCUACACAUGUACCCUUUUAAGUGAAAAUCAUGCAUAUCUUUAACAUAUAAGGUGCCCAGCUUCCCUAGUAAGGGGCUCGACAAAAUAAUCAUCACGUCAUCUCCGUCAUCAUCAUCAUCAUAACCAUCCUCAUCACCAAUCAUACAUAUAAUAUACAUACCCGGCCCUCUAGUGAGGAACUCGGUGACAUAUGCAAGAAACUCCGCACAAACAUUACCCAGCCCGGGACUCGGUGAAAUGAUAAAUGACUCUAUGCACGAGCAAAAUAUUAUGAGCAACCAUAUGCAAUUAAAAUCAUUUCUUAUAACUCAAUAGAACAAUCAACGUGAACCAGCAAGUAGUAUUACAAAAGAUUAAUGUUUUAUCAAGAUUAUGAUCCUUUAAUACGAUAUGGAAAAGUAAAAUCUCAAUGACUCUAAGAAGCACUACCAUAGAUAUGAGACAUCAUCAUAGCCUUAGACAUAGCCGAUAUAUAGAGGAAUAAUUGUGGAAGCAAGAAUAUACGUCACCUAGACGCUCUAGAGGUAAGUAUCAAACUGUCCGUUAUUCGCUUAUUUUUAAAAGUCAUACCAAACAAAGAAAGAGGGGACAGCGUUACAUACCGUAUAGUCGAGCCGCAUGUCAAAAAUUUUCUGCUCAAGCUAUUAAUCUAUAACAAGCAACAAUCGUGCCACAAUUAGAUAAAUAUCACGCUUUACUAUCUUGUAAGCUAGCUAAAAAUAUAACGAAAAUCCGGCAGCACUUCCCUAAUUUCCUUACUUCGUCCCAACCGACAACAACCCAAAUUAUCCACAACAAUACCAAUAACACAUAUAACCCAACGAAUCAUAUUAAACAGCCCCCUCUCCAAAACAGUUCCAUCUCGGCAACCAUAGCAGCGAAGCAACGACACACCGAGUGAUAACUCGUUUUAUAAUUCGCAACACAUCUACCUUAUUGUAUUCAUCCUUUGGAGUAUAUACUCAUAAUAACAUUUAAUAUAUACAUAAUGCCAAAACAGAAUUUUCCCGCAGUUUGCUUUAAUCAAAACAACCCAAGCACCAACACGACACCACUAAUAAUCCGAUUAUGGUUUCCGUUCAUACUUAGCACAUUCAAUAACUAAAACAAACUUCCUAAGCUACUGGUCACGCCCCCUUCUAAUAUUAAUGGUUAAUUAACAAAGGUAUUCUAAAGAAUUCACACACCAAACAAGGAGGUUACUAACCAAAUUAUUUGCAGCUGCUAGCCAAGAGUUGCGGGGUUGGUUUCUCCAUUUCCAUGGCUGCCUAAGCCAAGUGGUGAAGAAGAAGAUGAUAUGCAGCAAUGCAUUUCACCACUUUAUUUAGCAUGGAGUGGAUUUCUGCACCUCAUUUAAUAGUAUGAAGUGGAGGCAGCCCCCCUCUACACCUGUCCACUAUGGCCAGCUCACAAUCUGAUCCCUUUUAAAUUUUUUCCUUGAGUGGUGGGGCCCACUGGAUUAAAUUAAUCCAAAUCAGCCACUAAUUAACCCCUCACUUAAAGUUAAUGGCACUUACAUUAGCCAAAUCAUACUUAAUAUCACAUUUGGAAUUAACAUCCUUUCCUAAUAUUUCUUUAAUAACUUACAACUUAAAAUAAAAUCUCAUUCUCCGGACUUACGUCUACUAGAUCAUGAAGCGCACUACGCAUAAAAAAAAAUAUGAGGCAUAACAUCCUUCCCCCCUUAGGAACAUUCGUCCUCGAAUGCAAAGUUAGCGUCUUACAAAAAAAAAUUCCAGCUAGAUCUCUCUAAUAGUUAUACCUAUCAACCUGCAUUCCGUAACUUACAGAUGCCUCAUAGAGUCACAACUUACUACAUAAUCUCGUUUAUCAAUCAAUAUAGUCAAGCUAGGAAUUGAAUUACCUACAGGUACGGGGAACAAGUAAGGAUACUUAUUCUUCAUUUUGUCUUCCGUUUCCCAAGUCAUCUCCUCCCUACUGUUAUUUUGCCACAACAGUUUGACGGAAGCCACAUCCUUAGUAUGUAACCUUCUAACCUGACAAUCAAGUAUAGCUACGGGUUUCUCCUCAUAUGACAACUCCUCUGUUACCUGAACAUCAUCUACGGUGAAUACUCUAGAAGGAUUACCAAUACAUUUAAGUAGCAUCAAUACAUGGAAGACUGGAUGUACCGCCUCCAAAUCAGAUGGUAGAUCCAACUCAUAGGCAACCUUGCCUAUCCUACAAACAAUCUGAUAAGGCCCAAUGUAUCUCGAAUUGAGCUUCCCCUUCCUGCCGAAUCUCAUCACACCCCUCAUGGGUGAUACCUUCAGGAAUACCCAGUCACCAAUCUGAAACUCCAAAUCUCGACGCCGGUUAUCUGCAUAUGACUUCUGUCGACUCUGGCCGCUAAUAAUCUUUCUUGAAUAAGCUUCACCUUGUCAACAGCUUGCUGAAUCAUAUCCGUGCCUAUUAACUUAGUCUCGCCAACAUCAAACCAACCAAUGGGUGAUCUGCACUUCCUCCCAUAUAAGGCCUCGUACGGUACCAUCUGGAUUCUAGAAUGGUAGCUAUUGUUAUAGGUGAACUCAAUGAGCGGCAAGUGGUCAUCCCAGCUACCUUUGAAGUCAAUAAUACAGGCCUGCAACAUAUCUUCUAAUGUCUGAAUAGUAUGCUCAGCCUGCACAUCAGUCUGAGGGUGAAAUAUUGUGCUAAGGUUCACCUGUGUCCCCAAUCCCUUCUGAAACGAUCUCCAAAAGUUGGCUGUAAAUUGAGCUCCUCUGUCUGAUAUAAUGGACGUGGGAACUCCAUGAAGUUUCACUAUCUCCCUGACAUAUAACCUCGCAUAAUCUUCAGCCGAAUAAGUAGUCCUGACUGGAAGAAAAUGGGCCGAUUUCGUCAGCCUAUCUACAAUAACCCAUAUAGAGUCAUACUUCCGUGGAGUGCGAGGUAAGCCUGUAUUGAAGUCCAUAUUAAUCAUCUCCCAUUUCCAAGUUGGGAUCUCUAUCUCUUGUUAUUAUCCACCAGGCUUUUGAUGUUCGAUCUUGACUUGUUGACAAUUGGGGCACUGAGCAACAAACUCCGCUAUGUUCUUUUUCAUGCCAUCCCACCAAUAUAAGCAUCUGAGGUCAUGAUACAUUUUCGUUGACCCUGGGUGAAUAGAAUAACGGGCAGAGUGUGCCUCUCCCAUAACCUGCCGUCGUAGCCCCGCAUUAUCGGGUACACACAAUCUGCCUUCAUGUCAUAACACUUCGUCAGGUGUAACCUUAAAUGGGGUCUUUUCCUUUUGAAGAGCUGCAUCUCUAUAAUAUGCCAAAAUAGGGUCCUUGUAUUGGUGACUCUUUACCUCAUCUAUGAUUGAGGACUCAGCAACCUCUCGAAUAGAAACUCCACUAUCUUCUAAAUUAGCCAGACGGACUCCAAGGCUAGAUAGCCGUUGAAUCUCCCGAACCAUAUCCCUCCUUUCUGGUUGUACAUCUGUCAAGCUACCCAUGGACUUACGGCUAAGAGUAUCUGCUACAACAUUCGCUUUCCCUGGAUGAUAUAAAAUAUCAACAUCAUAAUCCUUUAGAAACUCUAACCACUUCCUCUGUCGUAAGUUCAGCUCCUUCUGUUUAAAGAUAUAUGGGAGACUCUUAUGAUCUGUAUAGAUGUCCACAUGGACACCAUAUAAAUAAUGCCUCCAUAUCUUCAAGGCAUGAACCAUGACCGCUAACUCCAGAUCGUGAGUAGGAUAGUUCUUUUCAUGCUUCCUAAGCUGUCGGGAGGCAUAGGCUAUAACUUUGCCACGCUGCAUCAAUACACAUCCUAGCCCAACACCCGAAGCAUCACAAUAAAUAACAUAGCCGUCUGGUCCCUCCAGAAGAGUUAGGACUGGAGCUAUAGUCAAUUUGUCUUUCAAUAGCUGGAAGCUUCGCUCACAAGCAUCAGUCCACUGGAACUUGGCUGCCUUUUGAGUUAGCUUUGCCAUAGGCGCUGAAAUUGAGGCAAACUUUUCUACGAAUCUCCUGUAAUAUCCUGCUAACCCCAGAAAGUUGCGUACCAUAGUAGGUGUCGUAGGUCUGGGCCAAGUCUUUACCGCCUUAAUCUUCUGCGUGUCUACCCGAAUACCAUCAGCUCCAAUAAUAUGCCCCAAGAAUGCCACUGAAGUAAACCAGAACUCAUACUUAGAAAAUUUAGCAUACAACUUCUGGUGCUGAAGCACCCUAAGUACCGUCCUUAAAUGGUCUGCAUGCUCUUCUUCUGAACGUGAAUAGACCAGAAUAUCAUCUAUAAAUACAAUAACAAACAUAUCAAGGAAUGGUUUAAAUACUCGAUUCAUUAAAUCCAUAAACACCGCUGGAGUAUUAGUCAGCCCAAAAGACAACACUCUAAACUCAUAAUUCCCAUAUCGGGUCUGGAAUGUCGUCUUUGGAAUAUCUGCCUCCCUUACCCGCAUAUGAUGAUAACCUGACUGCAAGUCUAUCUUUGAAAAACAUUUUGCACCCUGCAACUGGUCAAAUAGAUCGUCAAUCCUUGGGAGGGGAUACCUGUUCUUUAUUGUUACUUUGUUCAGCUGCCUAUUAUCAAUGCACAUCCGCAGUGACCCAUCCUUCUUCCUUACAAACAGUACCGGUGCUCCCCAAGGUGACGUACUAGGCCUGAUGAAGCCCUUUUCUAGCAAAUCCCUCAAUUGCUCUUUCAAUUCUUUCAACUCAUCAGGUUCCAUUCUAUAAGGAGGUUUAGAUAUAGGCUAGGUAUCUGGCAGUACAUCUAUAGUAAACUCGAUCUGACGAUCUGGAGGAAGGCCUGGAAGUUCCUCAGGGAAUACAUCGGAAAAUUCAUUAACUACCGGGACUGAUUGAAGAGUCGGUGCCUCUGCCUUUAUGUCAUGCACCCGAAUCAGAUGGUAAAUAUAGCCUUUUCUAACCAUCUUCCCGGCCUUAAGGUAUGAAAUGAACUUACCUUUCGGCGAUACUGUACUCCCCUUCCACUCUAUAAUUAGUUCCCCUUGAAAUUGAAAUCGAACUAUCUUUCCUCUGCAAUCAACAUUAGCAUAACAAGCAUCCAACCAAUCCAUGCCCAUGAUAAUAUCAAACUUAAUCAUAUUUAACUCUAUUAGAUCUGCUACGGUACGACGAAUAUAUAUAACUACUGAACAAUUCUUAUAUACUCGCGUAGCUAUGACAAAAUCUCCUACAGUUGUAGCUACCUCAAAUGGUUCUAUAACCUCAGACUCUAUUCCGAUCCUACUAGCAACAAAGGGUGAUAUAAAUGAUAAGGUGGAACCUGGGUCUAUCAAUGCAUACACACUUCGGGAGAAUAGUGAUAAUAUACCUAUGAUCACAUUAGGUGACGCCUCCUGAUCCUGCCUA